rnacentral:lncRNA from 1 species
GCCCACAAACCUAAUAAAGAUGUGUUACUUUAUAUAGUAGCAGAUAAAUGAAAGUAUAGAGCAGAUAAGAUGUUUUAUAUUUUCCAUAUAUAAGUGAUCAUGCUUUAGAGAUAGCAAUUCAAUAUUGUUUAUUAUCUUCAUUAAUGUUCCUUCCUUCGUUUAUUACUACUACAACCCUCGAUUAGAAAAGUUUGUUACUCUCUUAAAGUAAUUUAGCUAUACGGACUGUUGACACGUGCAAACAAAUAAAAUAAUUAGUAUUAGUUAGGUAUAGAUGAACGCCUUCACCUCUCCUCACCCAAAUAAGUAGUUUUAUUAUUUAAUAAAUGAAAAUACAAUUAGUCAUUAAUUUUCAUCCUUUUGUAUUAAAAAAAAAAAUGUGCAAGAGAGAUUAGUUUACUGAAAAAAAUAUUAAAUUAAAAUUAAGAAAACAUGAUAAGUAAAAUGAACUGUUGGAGUAAUAUCAAAAGAACAAAACAUUAGUCAGAGUUUUAGAACCUUUCUUAGUUCUAGUCAAAUUUUAUUCACUGAUUUGCACAAAAUUAACUAAUGAGAAGGUAAUUUUAUUAAUUUACCCCUCAAAAAAAUUGUUGAAAAUUUACAAACCAGUAUAGCCUGAUAUGCAACUGUUUUGGUUGUUAUGCCACAAACAAUUUUGACAAUUGUACAAAUUAUCACUUUUUUUGGUAAUAGAAAGUUCCCUUUUAAUUGCCAAAAAGAAAAAAAAGUGAUCAACUAAUAUACUACGAAAAAACUCACCAAUAUGCACACUUCGGUUAAAUUUCUUUACUAAUAUGGCCUAAUUAUAUACAUUAGUUAUGUAUAUUAUAUUUAGAUAUAGAAAAUUUAUACAUUUACUUGCUAUUUUAUAGGCUAAAUCACCUAAAAACUUCGAACCGUAAUUAUCCUAACCUAACUAGUGCUCCCACAUUCACGCUAAGCUACAUUUUUCUAAACCCUAAGCUAAGCCCUAUUCUAAACCCUAAAUCCUAUUAUUAAUUAAAGAUUUCUACCAAGCAACUUACUCGUCACGGCGACGUUUAGUUGCUUUGUCUCUUUCAAAUUUUCUUUGUAUACGAAUUACUAGUGAUGAGGAGCCGAUGAAAAAGAACCUUUUAUAGGUUAAGACAGCAACAAGUAGAAUUGUCUUUUGUGAUUCGAUUUUUUUCGAAUCUUGCACGUUAUGGACACUUUAGUACAACAAUAACAACAAAAUCAGUAUAUUCCCACAUCGUAGAGUCUGGGGAGGAUAAAGUGUACGCAGUUUAUGCCACUAUCUCUAAAAAAGUAGAGAGACUGUUUUCAAUAGACCCCGGCUCAAGACGAUAUGAACACUUUAGUAUGUCGAACAAUCUUUUUAUUUUUUUUUUUUAAAUAAUACUAGUUGUAUUACAGAACUUUUUGAGUCUGGACUCUUGAAACCCAUUUCUGGAUAAUGUUUUUUAUACAUUCUUGGAAUUCUCAAUUAGUUAGAACUUAGAACAGUAGAUUCGAUAUGCUUUUGUAGACGUGGUUUUCUUUUCUUAUUCUUGACUAAUCUAUAUAUAUCUAUAUCUAUAUUUAUACUUUAUUAGAAGUGUGAAAAUUUUAAAGAUAUUAUUUGAAUUUUUUACUUUUGAUUGAAAGUUUUUAUUUUAGAUAAAAAAAAUUUUUUAUUUUUUUUUAAUAUUUAAGAAUUAAAAAUUAAUUAACUAUAUUUAUGGUAAAUCAUUUCUUAUUAGAAGUCAUCGAAGUUAGUGACAACUAAUACAUUUUUCAUUAGUUUAAUAAUUCUAAAUAAAUUAAAUUUAAUUUUAAGAAAAUUUGAAAAAUCUAGAAAUAAAUAUAAAAACGUUAAAAAAAGAAAAUUUUAAGAAGUAUCAAAUUUUUAGAAUUUUUAAGUACGUAAUAAGAAUGUAAUUUUUUUUUGUAAAGAUUUGACGUUAACAAGAAGAAAGUAUUUUAAAUGUAGAAAAAAAAUAAUCACAUCACAAAUAUGGUUCAAAUUGCUACGUCUCUCUUAGCCUCUGGCAGCAAGAGAAAGAUAUAUUGCAUGUUAAGCGCAAAAUUGACAAUCUAUCAAUCACAAAUAUAUAAUAUGUGUUAUUAAAUAUAUUGAAGUGUGAAUAAUAUUUGAAAAGUGAUUUGAAAAAACACCAAAAAUUACAUGCGAGACACGCGCUGUUAAAUUAGUUAAAAUGAAAAGAGUGAAAUCAAUAUAUGAUAAAAUAGCUUAAGAACUCGAAACCAGGAUUUAGCUUGAUUUAAUCUUAAUUAAGGGCUCUCAAAAAUAAUUUCCCUUCGAUCUAUUUUAAUUAUAAUUUUGAAAAGUUUUAUAAAAUACAAUAAGUUUGGAAUUUUUGUUUCUUAAAAGUUGAAAAGUAUUUAUUUUAACCGCUCAGCGAAAGUUAAGAUAAAUUUGAUACAGUUAUGGAGUUAAAACAAAUCCCACACUGCAAAGGGAAGAGAGCAUUUUAGUCUUUUCGAAAUAUUUGCAAUAAAUAUUCUUUUUGGCUAAGCUUCUUCACGGUUAAAAAUGUCUAUUUUUGUUAAAAGAAAAAGUUCUGGUGUACGUUUAGUUUGGUCAAGUUUAUACAAAAAUAAAAACAUAAAGUUACACGUUCUAUCCUUUAAUAGACUGGCUUUUAAUUUUUAUCCUUUAAUAGAUUAGUUUUUAAUUUUUGCCCUUUAGGAAUCAAACUUAUCUAGUGGGGCAUAAUUCACAAAUUGAAGACAUGCCUUUUGUGCUCAUAUGUAGUAUCUAAUUUUGGAGGCAAAGAUGUAUAUCCUCCUCCAUUUACUUGAUCUCAGGAAAAUCAUCAUUUAUUAUUUAUUAUGAGUGACAUAAAUUAAUUAUCAGUACAAAAUAGGGUAAAAAUUUAAAGAAUGUGUGUCUAUUUUUUUUAAAACUAGUAUGUUUUUUUUUUGAGAAUAUGACAUGCGUAUGGUGUCGAUAGUGAGAAGUACACUCAUCUUAGAAGAAAAUAACUUUUUAGUAGAUGCAUAAACUGUUUUUGAGAAGUUGAAAAUUGUAUCUUCCUCUCAAAAGUAUUUCUUUUUAGAAAUAUUUUAUAAGUACUUUUUACAAGUUUGAUCAAAUUACGUCUAAUCAAAAAUAUUUUAUUUUAUUAAAAUAAAAAUAAAUUUAAUCAAUUUUAAAAUUUAGCCAAACAAAUUAGGGGAAUAUAUAUUUGUUUUUUGUCAAUUAUGUCUGCCCAAUUAAAUCAUGUCUCAAUUUUCAAAGCACACAGCGACACUAUAUCUUAUGAGAUGUGAGUAUCCACGAGUAACACGCGAAGUAACAAUUAAAAGGAACUAAGUUAGCAAUUAGCAUCACGUUCCUUGCAUUUCAAUGUAUGCUUUUUUUUAAACACCAAAUAUUAUGUGCAAAUAAUUCAAAUGUAUUAUUUAAGCCUUCCCGUCCCAUUGAUAGCACAAAACAUAUCAUUGAAAUCGUAGAGUUUCCGUGAGAGUUGUGUAAUUUAAUUUAUAUAAUAGUUUCAUUUAGUUUUGUCAAUAUUUAAAUAUUAUCUAUAGAUUAAAAUUUUGAAUGAUUAAGUUUGACAUUUAAUUAUGCAUGAUUCAUUGUUUAUUUUAAAUAUAAUUUAAAUUUAAGAAAUAUUUGUAUUUCUUAUUAUAUUUUCAAACAGAAGAAAAACAAACAUUUUCUAAUGUAAUUCUUCUAUCUAUAUUUUUUAAUGAGUGUAAAAAGAAUUAAAGCGACAAUUUAAAUCAAGAUGAAAGAGUAGUAUUCAUUUCAAGCCCAUAAAUAGGAACUAGAAAUCCUAUAAUGCUAUGAUUUAUUUCUUUUAAAUCGAGCAGAAGGAAAAGGCAAAUAUAUAAAAAAGGAUUACAAGAUAAAAUAGAUCUCAUCAACAAUUAAAAGUUCAUCUUUAUAUAAUCAAGUAUCAGAACUCCUAAAAUUCCUAGUAAUUCUAUUAUUAUACGUAGAUCUAAAAUGAAUUUCAUAACUUUGACCACCCAUCAUCCAAAUCUUACUCGGUGAUCUUUGUCUAUAAUCUAUGACGCAAGAGUACAUCAACAUCACAUCACAUCACAUCAAUGCCAAAUUAUUACUACUAGUAUUGUUGCAAUAAUUAAAAAGGGGGUGAGAAUGUAGAAUGCUUAAGUCACUUACGGUAAAAACUUACACACAUCCGAUAAUCGGCAUGAACUUAAAUUUAAAUACAUGACAUGCAUGUAUUGACUUGGUGUAUAUAUCGGGUGCGUGUAAAUUUUACCCGUGACCUAGUGCAAUCUAGGGAAAAAUGAGUUUAGUAAUGCUUGGUGUCUGCAGAAUCAUUUAUCAAUGGGCUCGUUUAAGGAAGUGAAUAGUUAAAUUACUAAAUCUAUCCAAGUAUACAACUAUGGGAAUUAAAUUAGUAUUCCCUCCGUUAGCUUUUAAUUUUCACUUUUUGAUAUUAUUAUUUUAUCAUGUUAUGUUAUUCCUGUUAAUUGAUAUUUAGAGUAAUAUAUUUUGAAAAUGAUUUGAAGAAUAAGUAAGAAAGGUAAAAUAGAAUUUUUUAUUUUUUUUUGAUAUAUCAAAAGUGAUUAAUAAAAAUUGAAAUUUAAUUAAAAAAAUAGUGACAAGUAAAAAUGAAAAGAAAGUUCUAUAUUUGUUUAAAUAAAAUUCUUGAACAAUCUAUCCUUCUUAUUGGAUUCACUAGCUUAAAGAUUCGACGCCGGCAUCAAACAUAUGAGUUUCCUAUUCUAGAAAACAACGAAUUAUUUGCUAGAAUGAGACAUAUAAACUUUUUUUUUUUUUAACUUAUAUUUUUACAACAAAAUUUGGAAAUACAAUAGAUAAGCAGGAAAAGGAAACAAUAAAUUCUCGUAUUUCAUUUCUAAAAUAAUUAUUCUUUCAAGGAAAUAUAAAAUGUCCCCCCACCCCACCCCCAUCCCCAAUAUAGGAGUCCUAUCCCUUUUAAGUGUCUCUUUAGACUUUAAAAUUGAACCAAAAUGAGAGUGUCUUAAAAAAUAUACUAAUAUUGUUUUUUUACCGGAGUAAAUGAUGGAUAUUACUUUUUCUUUUCUGAAAAAAAUUCCAUACAUAAAAAGAAACAGAGAGCAACUUAGCGAAGUAAUUGUUUUAGCUAAUUUCUUAAUUCACUUUGUGGGGUAAUAUUUUUCUAAAAUUUGGGAACAUUUGCUAGGAAAACAAAAAUAUGGCCAAAGAGAACAACACGAAAUAAAAUUAAUCUUUUGUAGAGGUUGAGAGAAUAUUAAUCACCAUACACAAAUAUUUUAGAUUUCGAAAGUAAUAUUUUCUUUUUCAUUUUUCUCACUUUCUUCUUAAUCAAUUGAGCUACUAAAAUUCUCCAUUUUAUAUAGUAUAUAGUAGCGUACUCCCCAUAAAAUAUGCAUAGUUUUCUUAGUCCAAACGUGUUAAUAAACCUUGUGUGGAGCAUUAUUUUGUAGUGCUUCUCCCCCAUAAACUAUGCAUGCUAAAUUUAUCUUAGCCUCAAAUUUAAGCUAUAAUACAACUUUUCUAGAAGAAUAUUUGGUUUAAAACCUGUGUAGUUAUUCUUUUUAAAAAAAAUUCUAUCCAUUUUGAAAUGCCAACACAUUACACACCUACAUUGCUUGUAACCAAUAAAUAUAAGUAAAACAAAUUACUAGCUCCGUGUUUUUGAUAUAUCAAGAAAAUAUAACCAAAAAAUAAUUUUAUUCUUUAAAAUAUUUUUAAGACAUAUUAUUUAAUAAAAAUAAUAUAUAAAAUAAUAAUAUUAAUAUUCCCUCUGUCCCAUUUUAUGUGUCGCCAUUUGAUCGGGCACCGAGUUUAAAAAAUAAGGGAAGACUUGAUAAUAUUUACCAAAUUGUCCUUUAUAAAAAAAUGUGUUACUGUUUUUUUUUUAAUUAAGUGGCUCAAUAAAAAUAAAAGUGUAAUUAUAUUUUUAAAUAUUUACCAAAUAAGGAAAUAUAACAUUUCUUUUGGAACAAAUUAAAAAGAAAAUAAUGAUAUAUAAAAUAAAACGGAGGGAGUAAUUAUUUUCUUAACGAGUAUAGCGUGCCAAAAACUAAGAUUAGAUCCCCAAGUUGUUACCCCUGUCUCCAUAAACCCAAAAAUUCGAGUCCGAACAAAUUCCAUUCCCAUUUCUAAUGUACUCUUUAUUCGCGCCGUAUAGGAACUACUAUUCAUCCAAAAAGUAGCCAGCCUAACUAAAAUAGUCAAAUUUGACACUCCUUUUGCUUCCUUAGUGUUUUUUUCCCCAAGAAAGAAUUAAAAUCUCAAUUGCUCCUUCUCUUUCAUACUCGGUUUAUUUUAAAAUAAUUGAAUUAUUAAAAUAUGAUAUAUAUAUAUAUAUAUAUAUAUAAUUUUAUAAUUACUCUUUAAAUUAUUAUCUUAUAAAAUAUGAAAUUCGUAUAAAUUUCAUUAAAUAAAAAAAUCAAAUUGAAAGGAAUUUUUAACAUGUCUCUAAUGAACUAUUCAUAUAUUUUGAAUGUUAAGAAAUAGUUCAAUAAUUUAUUUAUUUUGAAAUAAAGGAAAUAAUUAUUAUGAUCAUUGUUUUAAUUUUUUGAAGAGUUAUUUGACAAAAACUAAAGAGGGCAAAAAUAAAAAGUAAUGUCUAAUUUAUGUCUGAAUUUUCUCUUCUUAAUAGUUGUGCAUUACCUUAGCAGUUCAUGAUAUAUAGAGAGUACUUUUACCCCAUAAUGGUAAUAUAAAUUCAAGAUUUUACGUUAAUUGUCUUUAUAAAAUAAGUACUUCGUUUAGUUCAUUUUAGUUGGCCUUCUUGUUAAAAUUAUUUGUUUUUAUUUAGUUGGCUUAUUUAAAAAAUUAUUUUUUUUAUUAUGUUCUUCUGGUAUUAUCUUUAUCAUCAAAUGACUACAUAAAUGUACUUCCUCUGUUCGCUUUUACUUGUCACCUUUUGACAUAGCACAUCCAUUAAGAAAAUAAUUAUUGAUAUGACUAUUUUACCAUACUAUUCCUAUUAACUAAUGUUUAGAAUAAUAUGUUUUUAAUAUGGUUUGAAGAAUAAACAAUUAUUGGUAAGGAUAAACUAUAAAAAAAAACUUUUGUCUUUUUUUUUAUAUGUCAAAAGUGACAAGUAAAAAAAUUAAUUAAGAAAAUAAUGACACGUAAUAGCAAACGGAGGAAGUAUAUACUCAAAUUUAUAUUUUUAAAGUAUUAAUUAAUAAGGUCAAUUUGAUAAAAUAAAUUUCUAAUAGAUAGUUUUUUAAGGAAAUAUCAAGUAAAUAAGAAUUAACUAUUUUAAAACGGAGGAGGCAUCUUUUAUAAUCUCUCAGUAUUAUUUUUAUUUUACUCCUAUAUUAAAAACAAUGUUUCACUUUACUUGUUUGUUUUUGAAAAUUAAGAGAGUUUUAUUUCUUUUUUCUAAUAUUAACUUGUUUGGUCGAAGUUAUUUUUUUUUAGAAGUACUUAUUUUUUUCUUAAAAGCGUCUAUUUUUUUUUAAAUGAUAUAUUUGGUUAAACUUUAGAAAACAAAAUGUUUCCAAGGAGUAAUAGAAACUAUUUUUUACAAGUUAAAAUAAAUAAUUUCUUUCUAAAAACACUUAUUUAAAAAGCAUUUUGAAAUUUAUUAGUUGAACACGUUUUUCAUUAAAAGUGUUUUUAUAAGAAAUACUUUUCAAAAUAAGUUGGCUUUAGAAGUUUGGCCAAAAUAUAAUUAACAAGGUAAUUUAGUAUUGGAAGUUUGGCCAAAAUAUAAUUAAUAAGGUAAUUUAGUAAUCUCAAUAGUUCAUAUUAAGUUAUUGAAACUUUCUGUAUAAUUCAAAACAAGUGUUUUUUUUUUUUUUUUUCCAAAUUCAAGAAAAUCAUUGGAUUUUUUUUUCAUAUACCCUUAAAUAUCUUUCUUAAAAGAUGAAUCAUAUCCUAAGUGAUUACAAUCACUUAAUAUGGCAAAAAAAUAAACCUCUAAUUAACUGCUUCAAAACUCAAAUUUACUAGAAGAGCAUGUGUUUUAAUGUGAGUAUAUAAUACAAUUUGAGUCAAAAAACUUAUCAUUAUGCUUCUUCAAGUUACUGUGUAAACUCUUAUCUUGCUCUCGCCAUUACAGUCCAAAAUCCAAAUAGUUUGUGUGUUUCUUCUCGUGUGUGUGUGUGAACACUCUUUNNNNNNNNNNNNNNNNNNNNNNNNNNNNNNNNNNNNNNNNNNNNNNNNNNNNNNNNNNNNNNNNNNNNNNNNNNNNNNNNNNNNNNNNNNNNNNNNNNNNNNNNNNNNNNNNNNNNNNNNNNNNNNNNNNNNNNNNNNNNNNNNNNNNNNNNNNNNNNNNNNNNNNNNNNNNNNNNNNNNNNNNNNNNNNNNNNNNNNNNNNNNNNNNNNNNNNNNNNNNNNNNNNNNNNNNNNNNNNNNNNNNNNNNNNNNNNNNNNNNNNNNNNNNNNNNNNNNNNNNNNNNNNNNNNNNNNNNNNNNNNNNNNNNNNNNNNNNNNNNNNNNNNNNNNNNNNNNNNNNNNNNNNNNNNNNNNNNNNNNNNNNNNNNNNNNNNNNNNNNNNNNNNNNNNNNNNNNNNNNNNNNNNNNNNNNNNNNNNNNNNNNNNNNNNNNNNNNNNNNNNNNNNNNNNNNNNNNNNNNNNNNNNNNNNNNNNNNNNNNNNNNNNNNNNNNNNNNNNNNNNNNNNNNNNNNNNNNNNNNNNNNNNNNNNNNNNNNNNNNNNNNNNNNNNNNNNNNNNNNNNNNNNNNNNNNNNNNNNNNNNNNNNNNNNNNNNNNNNNNNNNNNNNNNNNNNNNNNNNNNNNNNNNNNNNNNNNNNNNNNNNNNNNNNNNNNNNNNNNNNNNNNNNNNNNNNNNNNNNNNNNNNNNNNNNNNNNNNNNNNNNNNNNNNNNNNNNNNNNNNNNNNNNNNNNNNNNNNNNNNNNNNNNNNNNNNNNNNNNNNNNNNNNNNNNNNNNNNNNNNNNNNNNNNNNNNNNNNNNNNNNNNNNNNNNNNNNNNNNNNNNNNNNNNNNNNNNNNNNNNNNNNNNNNNNNNNNNNNNNNNNNNNNNNNNNNNNNNNNNNNNNNNNNNNNNNNNNNNNNNNNNNNNNNNNNNNNNNNNNNNNNNNNNNNNNNNNNNNNNNNNNNNNNNNNNNNNNNNNNNNNNNNNNNNNNNNNNNNNNNNNNNNNNNNNNNNNNNNNNNNNNNNNNNNNNNNNNNNNNNNNNNNNNNNNNNNNNNNNNNNNNNNNNNNNNNNNNNNNNNNNNNNNNNNNNNNNNNNNNNNNNNNNNNNNNNNNNNNNNNNNNNNNNNNNNNNNNNNNNNNNNNNNNNNNNNNNNNNNNNNNNNNNNNNNNNNNNNNNNNNNNNNNNNNNNNNNNNNNNNNNNNNNNNNNNNNNNNNNNNNNNNNNNNNNNNNNNNNNNNNNNNNNNNNNNNNNNNNNNNNNNNNNNNNNNNNNNNNNNNNNNNNNNNNNNNNNNNNNNNNNNNNNNNNNNNNNNNNNNNNNNNNNNNNNNNNNNNNNNNNNNNNNNNNNNNNNNNNNNNNNNNNNNNNNNNNNNNNNNNNNNNNNNNNNNNNNNNNNNNNNNNNNNNNNNNNNCACUCUUUCACAUUUUCAGUACUCCUUCUUCUCCUUAAACUCUUUCAGUUACACUUGUUAUCCAUGCAUAAAUUCCCCCCACCUCUUGCUAACUCUCAUCUUCCCACCAUCCAACUUCCAUUUUCAGAUGUUUGUGUUUAUUAAUGCUUACUAAUCUAGUACGUAGGUUCUUGUCUUUUUAAGGAGCUUGGGGGUCAUUUUUCUUUUUUCUUCAUUGAAUCAUCAAUGGAUAACAUGAAAAUCCAAUUUCUGUUAGUGAUUAUUUUUUUUCUGUUCGUUGUUCCGGCGAGUUCAUCGGCCAGGGAUAUCGCCAUUUUACUCCGGGUUAAGUCUGGUCAUCUCGGGGACCCAAAUGGUUUGCUUGCUAAUUGGAAUGAGUCUGCUCCAAAUGCUCCUUGUAGCUGGACUGGCAUUAGCUGUAAUCGGAAAACUGGUCAGGUUGUGGCCAUUGAGUUUGCAAGUUUUGGAAUUUCCGGUCGUUUUCCGGCUGAUUUCUGCCGGAUUUCGACUUUGCAGAAACUCAAUCUGGGUGAUAACAGUUUUGGUGAUUCUAUAUCACCUGAUUCUUGGUCUCUCUGUUCACAUCUUCACUUUCUGAAUAUUUCUUUGAACUUCUUUGUUGGUCAGUUGCCGGAGUUUAUUGCCCAGUUUGAUAACUUGACUGUCCUUGAUGUUAAUUCGAAUAAUUUCUCCGGUGAAAUUCCAGCGAGUUUGGUCCGUUUACCCAAAUUACAACAGCUGAAUAUAGCUAACAAUCUCCUGAAUGGUUCAAUUCCUGAGUUCUUGACGAAUCUUACCGAGUUGACUCGAUUGGAAAUUGGUUCAAAUCCAUAUAAGCCAAGCCCACUGCCUUCCUCAAUCGGUCGACUCAGUAAACUUCAAGUUCUCUUUUUUCGGUAUGCAAAUCUUGUUGGAGAAAUUCCAGAUUCCAUUAGAGACCUGAAAUCUAUUCAGAAUUUUGAUGCGGCAAUUAACAAUCUGACGGGAAGAAUUCCAGAAAGCUUGGGAGAACUGAAAACCAUACAACAAAUAGAGCUCUUUGGAAACCAUUUUUCAGGUGAAUUGCCUGAUAUAUUUUCGGGUCUUGGUUCUCUUUUCAUGUUUGACGUUUCUGAGAACAAUCUCACAGGAAAAAUACCUGAAUCCCUUGCCCGUUUGCACCUGAUAUCUCUGAAUCUCAAUGAUAACCAGUUAGAAGGCAAAAUUCCAGAAAGUUUAGCUCUUAACCCAAAUCUUUGUCAGUUCAAGCUCUUUAACAACAGAUUUUCAGGUACUUUACCUCAAAAUCUUGGUUUUUCAGAUUUAGAUGAGUUUGAUGUCUCCGGCAAUAAUCUAGAAGGUUCUUUGCCGCCUAACUUAUGUUCUAGAAAAAAGCUUAAGACUUUGAACCUGUUUAAUAAUAAGUUCAAUGGGCCAAUCCCAGAAUCCUAUGGGGAGUGUAAUUCACUAGCAUAUGUGCGUAUCCAUGACAACCAAUUCUCUGGUGAGUUACCAGCUGGUUUCUGGGGAUUAGCUAGAUACACAUUUCUUGAACUGCGAAACAACAACUUUCAAGGUUCAAUUCCAGCUUCAAUCUCCAAUGCUCGAGGCCUAACACAACUUCUUAUCUCUGGCAAUAGAUUUUCCGGGGAAUUGCCUGCAGAAAUAUGCAAGUUGGAAGAGGUUGUGAUCAUGAAUAUUAGCAAGAAUCAAUUAUCAGGGGAGUUGCCUUCAUGUAUCACAAGAUUGAAAACGUUACAAAACCUCGAUCUUUCGGAAAACAGGAUCACGGGUCAAAUUCCCAAAUCAGUUAGUUCUUGGAAUGACUUGACUGAAUUGAAUUUAGCUAACAAUCAAUUGACAGGUGAAAUUCCUGGUGAGCUUGGGACGUUACCGGUCUUAACCUACUUAGACCUCGCUGGAAACUUGCUUUCUGGCAAAAUUCCAUCGGAGCUGAGCAAGCUCAAGCUCAACAAAUUCAAUGUAUCAAAUAACAGGCUUGAAGGGAAAGUGCCUCUUUGGUUGGAUGACAAUUAUUUUGUCUCAGGUUUACGAGGUAACCCGGGUCUUUGUAGUCCGGAUCUUAAACCUCUGCCUGAAUGCCCAAAACCCAAAAGUGUAAGCUUGUACGUGGUGUGUAUUUUAUCAGCUUUCGCCUUCAUACUUGUCGGGUCACUUGUUUGCGUUUUACUCAAGGCUAGUAAGCUGCUACCAAUCCGGAGCAAGCAUAAAAGUGUAUGGAGGAUUACUGCAUUCCAACGGGUCGGGUUCACAGAGCGAGACGUGUUAGCUGCACUGACAGAUGACAAUCUCAUAGGAGCUGGUGGGUCGGGUCGGGUAUACCGGGUCAAACUGAAAAAUGGGCAGAUGGUAGCGGUGAAGAAACUUUGGGCGGCUAAGAGGGUAAGAGAAUCCGAGGAGGUGUUCAGGUCAGAGGUGGAGACAUUAGGAAGAGUCCGGCAUGGAAACAUAGUGAAAUUAUUGUACACUGGCAUUGGUGAUGACUUUAGGAUAUUGGUAUACGAAUACAUGGAGAAUGGGAGCUUAGGAGAUGUAUUACAUGGGGAAAAAAUUGGAUUGCUGUUGGAUUGGCCGAGGAGAUUUGCCAUAGCAGUUGGAGCAGCUCAAGGAUUGGCAUAUUUGCACCAUGAUUGUGUGCCUGCAAUAGUGCACAGAGAUGUCAAGUCUAAUAACAUUUUGUUGGACGAGGAUUUCAGGCCCAAAGUGGCUGAUUUUGGGUUAGCUAAGGCAAUGCAACAGGAUACUGAGGGGAGUGAUCAGGCCAUGUCCCAUGUUGCUGGUUCCUACGGCUACAUUGCACCUGGUAAGCUUGAAUUCCUUGUUGGUUUUCACCAUUUAUUUUAGGUCCAAUGGCUGUUAGAACUUUCUAGUCUUGUUAGAAAUUUUAUUUGCCAAUAGAAAAUGUUGAGAAUAUCUGGUUCUAAGAACACUUUCUUUAAAAAAUAAUAUUGGACUGGGAUAGUCGUAAAUGAUGCAUAUGGACAGCAGAAAUUCAUAAAACUGACCUUUACUUGUUUCAGGUCGAGGCCUAAAUGUUGUUGUUCUAUUUUUUGUGUUUACUUGUUGUAAAGAGACGUUUAAUAGUUUGCAUCUGGUAUAUCAAGGACAUCCAAAAAAUAGUUUGGUGGAAGUUUUGGUUGCUUCGCAUGCUAUCAUAAAAUUUUGAUUUGAUUUUAGAUUCUUUUAUAUGAAACCAGAGCACAUUUUAGGAUAGAUGUUUCAAACUUGUAUGUCGAUUGGAAAACCUUAAUAAUCUCCAUUUAACGGUAGCAUCUAGUGUCAUUCCUCUAACUGGACACUGGUUCUGAAGUCUGCUUAUUUUUAUUGCUUGCUAAUGCUUGAUUAUAAGUUUAACAAGGAGAUUUGUCAAAGUAGGAUGAAACAGGGGCGGAGCUACAUGUAAGUUAGGGGUUCAUCCGAACCCCCUUCGAUGAAAAAUUAUACUAUAUAUACAUGGUUAAAAUUAUUUUUUAUGUAUAUAUAGCAGAUGUCGAACCUCCUUUAGUUAGAACAUAUGUUCACUUGUGAACCCCCUUGAUGAAAAUUCUGGCUCCGCCACUAGGAUGAAAGAAUGAUUAGGCCCCCGAUUUUCGAAGUCUGUACGACUAUUUUGUACUAACUACCUAUAAUAUUUAAUCUCGAGUUUCAUUUGGGAUUUGUCAAAGUAAAAUCAACGAAUAGUUGGGCACUCUGCUUUCUGAAGUCUGCAUGACCAUUUAUUCUAUACCAGUAGUAAUAUUUAAUUCUGAGAUCACAUCAAAUUAUUGAAUGGUUUUGUCACCUAAUAUUUGUUAACACAGUCAAUAUUUGAUGGAAAGAAUAAAAAAUAGGAGAGCCAUGUAUGUCCUGUCACCUAGCGUUUGUAAACAUAUUCAAGGUUUGAUCUGAAAGAUUAGGAAUGAAAGAGACUUAUGCCUAAGUAUUGUUGCCCGGUAAUCUAAUUUAUCAUUAUCUUGAAUUCUAUUUGUUCCCAUGAAGUCCUCUUUGAUUGGACACACAAUUUCAUCUUUUUUGUAAAGUUGAUACUAUCUGGUCUGUGACUGCACAUCUGCCUUCCUUUGCAAAAGUUUGAAAGUUUGAAGAAUAUAGAAACCAACAUCCUUUAUGUAAAAAAUUUGAUGGCCUUUUGAUACCAGUCCAAAUAAAAGCAUUGCGCUUGCAAUUGCAAUCAGUUUGUUAAGUUGAUAUUGCAUAUUUAAUGAUUAGGAAGAUACUAAAGUUUCUAAAUAUCUUAUGGGGUGGAAAAUGUGUUAUUCAAGGUUUUCAGCUGCACUUUUAAGCUUAACCUUGAUUCCUUUGUUUCAAUUGCAGAAUAUGCGUACACUCUGAAGAUCAAUGAGAAGAGUGAUGUUUAUAGCUUUGGUGUUGUACUGUUGGAACUAAUAAUUGGUAAAAGGCCUAAUGACUCCUCUUUCGGAGAGAACAAGGACAUUGUCAAGUGGGUGUUAGAGGGUGCACCAUCGUCGAAGAAAGGCGAAGGAAUUGGCCACAUUACAGAUGGAAGUAGCAUUCUUGAUUUGAACCAGCUAGUUGACCAGAGAAUGAAUCCAUCUUCAAGCAAUUACACAGAGAUUAAAAAUGUUUUUGAUGUGGCUUUGCUUUGCACUUCGGCAUUGCCCAUUAAUAGGCCCUCCAUGAGAAGAGUUGUUGAAUUGCUGAAGGAUAGCUCCUUUCCCCGUCCCAAAUAAAUCCAAUAAAUAGCUUUUCACAGUUUCGACAUGUCCUUGCUUUAGUAAUUUGAUACUACUAUAGUAGACUGUAAAGAAUGUGGGAAAUUGGGUGUUUGUUUUGGUAUGCUUGAUGGGGCUUUGUUAAGUGUCAUCACGCAAGAUUUUUAGGUUGAUUUAGUUUGCUGCACUUGUUUAACAAGUGCCUUUUUAGAUUCUCCAGUACACAUAGUAGCUUAACUUAAAGCUAGCUGACCAUGUAAAGCUCGUAUGCAAAGGCUGAACAUUUGAGUUUUUGUUGCAAUAUAUGAACUUUACAUUCAGAUAUGACUAUUCCGUAUCCAAGAAUUAAUCUUUGCUGGGGUUGUAAUGAGAUUUGUCCACCCAAAGUCAAAAGUUAGAAUGUCAGCUCUUUUUGAUCUAUUUUUCAAUGGGCAGUAUAUUUUAAGAUAUUUCAAAGAAUUAUAUGUUGAUGGAAAUAAAUAAAAUGGCAGGUACUGUGAAUUUGUUUCAUAAUACACAGAAAUAUUUACCCGUUAAAUAAUUUUAAAAAAAUCAAUGGCGUGUGUCCAUUAACUUUAGACAAUGUCCCUCCAUUUAUUUAUGAUGUCUCCGUAGAAUCAGAGAAGAAAGGGAGGAGCAGAGCAGAUCCUGAGAAGUCUUCAUAAAGACCUUCUCCAUUGAAUCUAUCGCUCGCUCAUUCUGCAAAAAAUUUAUCCUUAAAAACACACACAUAAAAAAAGAGAAAGAUGAGGGAGUGCAUAUCCGUUCACAUCGGUCAGGCAGGUAUUCAGGUUGGCAAUGCUUGCUGGGAACUUUAUUGCCUCGAACAUGGCAUCCAGGUCUUAUCCUUUUCUAGAAUGAUGUUAGCAUGCAUAAGUCAAGAAAAAAAUUCUUUCCAUUAAAAAAUAUAUAUUUUUCAUUGUUGUUUGUGUAUAAAAGUAUAUGAUACAUGGUAAUCGUACAAGGUUCUAUGACACAGAAUGAAGAGGAUAUUUUCUUAAUAAUUACAAUUAUAUCCACAUAUUGGUUGAACCUUGCGAUACGGAGUACAAGUUGAGAUAUUUGUGAAGGAAAAUGAUUUUUGUUCAUACGUAUUGGAUAUUGAUUGAAAAUAUUUUUCUUAGAGGAGAUUUUCACAAGUUACAUAAGGUUGAAAAUGACUUUAUUAGAACAACAAUAACAUACCCAGUAAAAAUGCCACAAAUGAGGGCUGGGGAGGGUCCCAUACUAUACAAGAAAAAUCGAAGCCACACUUAAACUAUAUAAGUAACCUAUUACACACCUUAACUAUAUAAAUGUGAUAUUAUUACCUCCCCGCAACCCCCAUUUUAAGGCGCGUAUGUUACAAUUAUUUUAGGCGCGUCCAACCUAUUAAAUAACAAAAGUAAACGGCUAAAAACAUUAAAGGAACAGACAUCGUUUCCACUCCAAACUAUAGUCGAAAAGUCGAAUCCACACCUAAACUAUAUAAGUGACCUAUUACACACCUUAACUAUAAAAAAGUGAUACUUUUUACUCCCUAGAUCUGAAGUGAAAAAUGCAUAAUUAUUUAAAUAAAAAUUGACGAGUUUAAAUUAAAAAUUAAUGUAAAAUUUUUUUAAAAAAAUUAAAAUACUCCUCCCCCAACCCCUAGCAUCCAUCUCCCCACCCCCACCCCCAAACAAUCAUCUUCUUCAUCCCCCUCCAACCCCAAACUCCAACCCCAACCCCAAACCAUCUUAUUCUUCAUCACCCCCACCUCAACCAACACAGUUUCUUCAUCACCCCAUCCCCAAAUAACACAAUUCAUCUUUCACCUUCAUCGAAUCAAUGUCAAUUUCACAAUGAACACAAUCAAAUUGUAUUUGAUGUUUAAACGGGCAAAACCAAAUUUUAUAAAAAAAAAAAUAUAAAAUUUUGUAGCAAGGAUAUUUUUUGGUUAAUUCUCGUCGGAAAAGUCAUAUUCAUCGUCGACUUUCUCCUCUCUGUCUGUUAGUUAUUAAUCCAUCAAAAAAUGUAGCUUGCUACCAUAUUAGUUUUUUUUUUUUUUUUUAAUUAUAGCUGAAAAAUAAAUAGAAAAAGUACGAAAAUGUCUUGGUCAUUACCAUUUAAAACAUAGAGGCCAACAAUUGAGUGACCAUUUUUUGAAACAAUAAUGGCCAUUAUAGAUGAGAUUUUUUUUAUUUUUUUUUUAAGAAAAGACGAUGGGUUACGGAUGAAGAACAAUGUUAGAAGAAAUUAAUUGUUAUGGUAAUUUUAUUGGUGGGAUAAAGUUUAUGGUGGUGAAUAUGGUGUAAUGAAGGUAAUGGAGGUUUUGGACAUUGACAACAAUGGAGGUUUCAGACAUUGAAGAAGAAGGAAAAAAAUUAAAUUAAAAAGAAAAAGAAAAAAUUAUGAAAAUAAUAAAUUUAUUAUUUUUUCGGAUUAUGCUGACAUGGAUGCUGAUGUGGCAGCGCGUGUAAAACACCACACAAGUGGUGUAAUGCCUGACAGGGUGUAAAAAAUAUCACUUUUUUUUAUAGUUAAGGUGUGUAAUAGGUUACUUAUAUAGUUUAAGUGUGGAUUCGACUUUUCGACUAUAGUUUGGGAUGAAAACGAUGCCUUUUUCCUUAUUUUUUUGGAUUAUGCUGACGUGGCAGCGCGUGUAAAACACCACACCACAUGAAAGUGAGGUAAUGUCUGACAGGGUAUAAAAAGUAUCACUUUUUUAUAGUUAAGGUGUGUAAUAGGUCACUUAUAUAGUUUAGGUGUGGAUUCGACUUUUCGACUAUAGUUUGGGGUGGAAAGGAUGUCUUUUCCUUAUUUUCUAUGAAAAAUCUUUUACCACCAUACCAAACAAUGAGAUCAAAAGGCUAUUAUGAGGAUUGAUGAUAAAUUAUGCAAUAGUUGUUAUAACAAAUCCCAAAAUGAUGGAAGCAAAUAAUUGUUUCCUAAUAACAGAUUUCGCACCACUGGAUAUCUUAAGAAAUUAGUGAAUUGAUACAAGUGUAGUAGGAUAAGAAGAGAAAACAAUUGGGAUUCAAAAUUUAGUUAGUUCUGUUAAGUACUGUAGCAAAGUCUGUUUUUACUGUUGUAACAGAAUUACUGUAGCAGAGUCCAAGAGUUAGUUAGGCAGUUAUCAAGCAAUGAUUAGGUAUAAAUACUCAUGUGUAAUGAUUCACAGCUAUUCAGAAAAAUCAUAAUACAAUUCUUCUUCUCUCUUAUUUUUUCAACUUAGCUAUUCUUCUUGGGUAUACCCUGUUGUUAGCUCUCUUCUUUCUCAAGGUUAACCUGCUGGAGUGAUUUAGUUCUUCGAGGUGCAUUAAUUGAUAUCAAGGUUCGUGAUUCUCUACUAAAUAAUCAUGGUUGAGUGUGACAAAAACGUGGAUAAAUCAACAGAAGAGGUCGAUGGAAAAUUGUCACAAAUCCAAGAUCAAUUGCAGAAAUUGAUGGAUGGAAUGUUAAGCAUGAAUGAUCGAAAUGCGCGUACAGAUAAGGAAUUAAUGGAGAUUAAAUAAGCUUUGGGGAAUUGGAAUCAUAAGGAAAGAGAUAUAAAUGAAAGCAGGGCUAAAUCUUCGGUAGUUGGUGAUGAACCAAGAGGUCUAGGUUGUUCCCAACAAAAUAGAGAAUUUCAGAAUUCUAGUGGUAAAUUUCUUACUCGUUGUUCUAAGCUUGAAUUCCCUGGAUUCUCUGCCUAUGAUUUGCGAACCUGGUUGUAUAAGGUGGACCAAUUUUUUGCCAUGGCCGAGGUUCCACCUGAUCAAAUGGUUAGGGUAGCUUCAAUUCAUCUAGAUGGGGAUGUUAUAGCUUGGCAUAGGUCAUAGAUGAGAGCUAGAGCUGCUGCGAAAGAUUCUUCUUGGUCUGAGUAUGUACUGGCCAUUAAUGAUAGAUUUGGUGAUAGUUUUGAAGAUCCAAUGAAAGCUAUUAAGAAUUUACAACAGACUGGUAGUGUGAAAGAUUAUCAAGAUGAGUUCGACGGGUUGUUAUGUGGGGUAAAUUUAUCUCAUGAAAAUGCCCUGAGUUGUUACUUAGGGGGUUUGAAACCUGCACUUAACAAAACUGUUUGGACUCAGACUCCAAUAACACUUCACCAAGCCUACAAAAUCACUAGAUUGCAAGAAGAGGUUUUUGAAGCUCAAGUUCAAUCUUGGGGUUUCAAGAUGCCAAGCUUAUUACCUACCCCUAAAACUCCUUUUCUACCAAGACCCUCUACUAACACACCUGCAGUUAAGAAGAAUGUUGGGACUCACCAGGUGACUAGUCAGAUGGUACAUCAAAAUAUUAUUAGUAAAUUCCCAAGUAGAAGACUUUCUGUUGCUGAAAUAAAUGAGAAAAGGGCAAAGGGCCUUUGUUUCUUCAGUGAUGAACCUUAUGUACACUUAUGUAACUGUAGAAGUAAGAAACAACUAUUUAUGGUACAGGUAUUGGAAGAUGAAGAUACUGCAGAGAUAAGUGAUGGUGAUGUAGUGCAAGAAUUGCUUAAUGAACCUGAAGACUGAAUGACUAUAUCACUUCGGGCUUCUACUGGUGUUUCUGGUUAUCAAACUAUUAGAGUCAUAGGGUAUCAUGAGAAAAAGCCCUUACAGGUGUUAAUUGACACUGGGAGUACACAUAAUUUCAUUGAUCAAUCUAUAGCCAUAAGGUUGGGUUGUCAGGCUGAUCCUAUAGUGGGACAAUCUAUCAGCAUUGCAGAUGGUAGAAAAGUGCAGACUGCUGCUGUGUGUAAAAUUCUGCAGUGGUUACUACAAGGUACCACCUUCUCUUCAAACUUUUUGUUAUUACCUUUAGGGAGUGUGGAUAUUGUGUUGGGAGUUUAAUGGUUAAGCACAUUGGGAGGGAUACUAUUUGAUUUUAAGAACAGAACAAUUGCAUUUGUUUACAUGGGCAAGAAACAUGUGUUGAGAGGAGCUAGUGAUAAACUUAAUUCUGCUAAGGCAAAGGAGAUGAUUAAACAAGAAGCACAAGCUGCUCAAUUGUUUAUGUUAUCACUGGUGGAUAGUACAAUAUCUGACACUAGUUGUUACAAUAUCCAAGCUACUUCAUCUGGUAUAAAUCCUGUCUUAGAUUCUCUAGUUAAAGAGUACUCUUGUUUGUUUGAAAUACCUGGCACACUACCUCCAUACAGAGGUGUGUUUGACCACAAAAUUCCAUUGAUUGAGUCUGCUAAUCUAGUCAGUAAAAGACCUUACAGAUAUCCAGCUUUCAAGAAGGAUAUCAUUGAGAAACUUGUGCAAGAAAUGAUGGAACAAGGGGUAAUACAAAAUAGUACUAGCCCUUAUGCUUCUCCGGUGGUGUUAGUAGGGGAAAAAAAGGGUACAUGGAGGCUUUGUGUGGAUUAUAGAAGCUUGAAUCAGUUGACUAUCAAAGAUAAGUUUCCUAUACCUAUGAUUGAAGACUUGCUUGAUGAAUUAGGAGGUGCUAUGUUGUUUUCCAAACUAGACUUGAGGGCAGGGUAUCAUCAGUUGAGAAUGGACAAGAAUGAUACGUAUAAAACUUCUUUUAAGACUCAUGCAGGUCAUUAUGAGUUUUUAGUAAUGCCUUUUGUCUUAACUAAUGCAUCCUCUUCCUUUCAAGGGCUGAUGAAUGCUGUUUUUAAACCUCUACUGAGAAAAUCAGUUCUUGUACUCUUUGAUGACAUACUCAUCUAUAGUAAGACUUUGAAUGAUCAUGUUGCACAUAUUAAGGCUGUAUUUGAAUUGAUGAAGCAAUAUCAGUUAUGCAAAGAUGUCCAAGUGUGCAUUUAGGGUGGAUAAGGUAGAAUACUUAGGCCAUUACAUAAGUGCUGAAGGUGUUUCAACUGAUCCUAAAAAGAUCAGUGUUGUGCAACAAUGUCCAUUUCCAAGCAACAUCAAGCAAUUGAGGGGUUUCUUAGGUUUUGCUGGAUACUAUAUGAGAUUUAUUCAAGGUUUUAGUGCUAUUUGUAGACCACUACAUGACCUGUUGAAAAGGGAAGGAUUCAAUUGGUCUAAACAGGCUACUACGACAUUCCAUGCACUCAAAUAAGCUCUAGUUUCUGUACCUGUGUUGGCUAUGCCUAAUUAUUCCUUACUUUUUGUGGUUGAGACUGAUGUAAGUGAAAAGGGAAUUGGUGUUGUGUCAAUGCAACAGGGUCACCCCAUUGCAUAUAUCAGUAAGGCCUUGGCUCCAAAACAUCAAGCCAUGUCUGUGUAUGAUAGGGAAUUGUUGGCUCUUAUAUUUGCUGUUACAAAGUGGUCCCAUUACUUGUUAGGGAGACAUUUUAUUGUUAGGACUAAUUAAAAGGCAUUAAAACAUUUGUUAGAUCAGCAGAUACACACUGACUUUCAAGUUGCAGGAAUUUCUAAACUCAUGGCUUUUGAUUUCUCUAUUGAGUAUAAAAAGGGCUCUGAUAACAAGGUUGAUGAUGCCUUAUCUAGAAUGCCUGAUGCUGAACUCUUGGCCAUAUCCAUUUUGUCUUCACAUGAUGUUCUAUAUGAUGAAAUUAAAGAGAGUUGAAUACAAGAUCCUAAGUUGCAGGAAAUUAUUACAAGAUUACAGGUUCAACCUUUAAGCACUAUACUUGGUGUCAUGAACAAUUGAGAUGGAAAGGUAGAUUGAUGGUGGGUGAUGAUCCACAAUUAAAAAGGAAGAUCAUGGAAUUAUGGCAUAACACUCCUCAAGGAGGACACUCAGGGAUGAAUGCAACUACUUGGAGAUUGCAGUCACUAUUCUAUUGGAAAUUCCUUUUGCAGGAUGUUAGAUCUUUUGUACAACAGUGUGACAUAUGCCAAAGAAACAAGUAUGAUGCAACAACUUAUCCGGGUUAUUUGCAACUUCUUCCUAUUCCUGAAGGUGUGUGGACUGAUGUUUGUUUAAAUUUUAUUGAAGGUCUUCCUAAAUCAAAUGGGAAGGACGUCAUAUUGGUUGUGGUUGAUAGAUUGAGCAAGUAUGGUCAUUUCUUAUGCUUGCACCAUCCUUAUACUACUCAAUCAGUAGCCUAAUGUUAUUUGGACCAUGUUUUUAAGCUUCAUGGUAUGUCAGUGACAAUGACAAGUGAUAGAGAUCCUGUGUUCUUAAGCUCUUUUUGGCAAGAACUUUUUACACUUCAAGGUGUUCAAUUGUAAAGAUCCACAGCUUACCAUCCUCAGACUGAUGGUCAAACUGAGGUGCUCAACAGGACUUUGGAGACUUACUUGAGAUGCUUUUGCUUAGACAAACCUAAGGAAUGGGCUACAUAUAUACCCUUGGCUGAGUAGUGGUACAAUACCACUUACCAUUCCAACAUUAAGUGCACCCCUUAUAAGGUGUUGUAUGGUCAGAAACCUCCUAUCCAUUUGCCUUACUUGGUUGGUGAGAGUGCUUCUGAGAUGGUUGACAGGUCACUACAAGCUAGAGAAUCCAUCAUUCAGCUGCUGAAAUUUCACAUGGCCACAGCUCAACAAAGGAUGAAAGACAUUGCUAAUAAACACAGAACUAACCGAUCAUUUUCAAUAGGUGAUUGGGUGUACUUAAAACUUCAACCUUAUAGGCAAGUUACAGUAGAUACUAAACCAUUCAAUAAGCUUGCAACUAAGUAUUUUGGACCUUAUAUGGUGGAGGCUAGGAUUGGAGCUGUUGCAUACAGGUUGUUGUUGCCUAAGAAUGUUCUUAUUCAUCUUACUUUCCAUGUUUCUUAGCUCAAGAAGUGUUAUAAAGUCCCCAUGAGCUUCAACCAUCCACCUGUUCUGCACUUAUCUAGUCCCUUUUGUCCUGCGCCCGAGUCAGUUCUACAUAGGAGGAUGGUCAAGCGCGACAACAAGGCAGUAGAUCAAGUCCUAGUCAAAUGGACUGAUCUUGAUGCAGCUCAAGCAACUUGGGAGUUUGUUUCAGAGUUAUACACUAGGUUUCCUGGUUUCCAUCCUUGAGGACAAGAAUGUUCUUCACGGAGGGGCAUUGAUACAAGUGCAGCAGGAUAAGAAGAGUCAAAACAGUUGGGAUUCAAAAGUUAGUUAGUACUGUAGCAAAGUCUGUUUUUACUGUUGUAACAGAAUUAUUGUAGCAGAGUCCAAGAGUUAGUUAGGCGGUUAUCAAUCAAUGAUUAGCUAUAAAUACUCAUGUGUAAUGAUUCACAGCUAUUCAGAAAAAUCAUAAUACAAUUCUUCUUCUCUCUUAUUUUUUUAACUUAGCUAUUCUUCUCGGGUAUACCCUAAACUUAGCUCUCUUCUUCCUCGCGGUUAACCUCCUGGAGUGAUUUAGUUCUUCGAGGUGCAUCAAUGAUACUGUCGAUUAGUUUUGUCUCAAUCCUAAUAUUUCCUGAAAUUUUUGUGUUUAUUAGCCGGAUGGCCAGAUGCCAAGUGACAAGACUCUUGGGGGAGGUGAUGAUGCCUUCAAUACAUUUUUCAGCGAAACUGGCUCAGGGAAGCACGUUCCUCGUGCUGUUUUUGUUGAUCUUGAGCCCACUGUUAUUGAUGAAGUGAGAGCUGGAGCAUAUCGCCAGUUAUUUCACCCUGAACAAUUGAUCAGUGGCAAAGAAGAUGCAGCAAACAACUUUGCACGAGGCCACUAUACAAGUACACAUUCUUCACCUAAUUCAAUUGUACCCUUAGUUUGAACUUGUGAUGUAACUCUUAUUUAAAGAGUUCAAUUUUUUUUCCUUUACCAGUUGGAAGGGAGAUAGUUGAUCUUUGCUUGGAUCGUAUCAGAAAGCUCGCAGACAACUGCACUGGUCUGCAAGGUUUUCUGGUCUUUAAUGCCGUUGGUGGAGGCACUGGUUCUGGUUUAGGUUCACUUCUGUUAGAACGUUUGUCAGUGGACUAUGGUAAAAAAUCCAAGCUCGGGUUUACUGUGUAUCCCUCUCCUCAGGUUUCAACUUCUGUCGUGGAACCAUACAAUAGUGUUCUGUCAACCCACUCCCUCUUGGAACACACAGAUGUUGCUGUCUUGCUUGAUAAUGAAGCCAUUUAUGACAUUUGUCGUCGCUCCCUUGACAUUGAACGCCCAACCUACACCAACUUGAACCGAUUGGUGUCACAGGUAUUGGCAAUUUUAACUCUUGCCAUUUUGUAACCGUUCAAGCCUAGCUAUCAAGGUAUUGUGUGUUUCUGGUUCAACUUUUGGGGCCCCACGAUCUUGUUCCCUUGGAUUUUAACCAAAAAAAUUGGGCCAGGGAUGACAAUACCUUGUCAGUUGGACCGCUACACCUUUAGAUGAUUUUGCUUCUCUGAUUAAUGCAUGUGAUGAGUUUUCUAAUUUCUAUCAGGUGAUCUCAUCUCUCACCGCUUCCCUGAGGUUUGAUGGAGCUUUGAAUGUUGAUGUGAACGAAUUCCAGACUAACCUGGUCCCUUACCCAAGGAUCCACUUCAUGCUUUCGUCUUAUGCUCCGGUUAUAUCAGCUGAAAAGGCUCACCACGAACAACAUUCUGUGGCAGAAAUCACCACAACUGCUUUUGAACCAACUUCUAUGAUGGCCAAGUGUGAUCCUCGUCGUGGCAAGUACAUGGCGUGCUGCCUAAUGUAUCGAGGAGAUGUGGUUCCCAAGGACGUGAAUGCGGCUGUAUCCAUUAUCAAAACCAAACGUAGCAUUCAAUUCGUUGAUUGGUGUCCAACAGGCUUCAAAUGUGGUAUCAAUUACCAAACUCCAACUGUUGUCCCCGGAGGCGAUUUAGCCAAAGUACAAAGAGCAGUGUGUAUGAUAUCCAAUUCGACAAGUGUUGCUGAGGUUUUCUCUAGAAUCGACCACAAAUUUGAUCUAAUGUACGCGAAAAGAGCCUUUGUUCAUUGGUAUGUUGGUGAAGGGAUGGAGGAAGGUGAAUUUUCUGAAGCCCGUGAGGAUUUAGCUGCACUUGAGAAAGACUACGAGGAGGUGGGUGCUGAGUAUGGGCAGGGUGAAGAGGGUAGUGAAGGAGAAGAAUACUAAUAACUGAUGGAUCAUUAUUAGAUGUUUUUCUUAUUGUUUUCUCUUGAUUUCAGCAUGCUUAUUUAGCACUGAAAAUUUGCAACAAGAGAUCUCUACUUUAUACAUGUACCUGCUAAAUUUGAUUAUGUGAUAUUGUGUAAUUGUCUAAGUCAUUUUCUUGAAAGAUGCAAAGUGUGAUAAAUUGUAUAAAAUAAUUUUUCAUUAUAUUUACUAUUUUGAAGUAUAAAACAAAAUGAAAAAUCUCUUCUAAUAUUUGUAGAGUUUGAACAGAUUUAGAAAAAAAAAUUAACAAUACUCAAUCUUUAUCCAGGUAUAUGUGGCUAUCAAUUUCUUUGGCUCGUGGGUUUGUGUUUCUUUUGGACUUUCGAAUAUGCAAUUAAUUAUUUACUUAGUCACAAUGCUUAUCAAGAAUGUUAGAUAACACUUUGAUAUUUCGAGUUCAUCAUGAGGUGAAGUAAUGCUCUAUUUGAUCACUUUGACUUUGAGAAAGACAAUAUUUGAAGUCUUAAUUUGUAUAUAAAUAUCAAGAAUUUAACAAAUAUUUAAGAUGUCUUCUCAAAGAAAGAUGUCUUUCUUUUUUGGAGUUUUACAAAAAUCACUGUGAAUUUUUAAAGUAUACUUGGUUGUGUUCUUUAAAAUUAAAAAAUUAACUUUAGAGAAUUAUCAUUUCGAAAACGCAGAAAUAAAAUAAAAUUCUGCAGAUGUCUAUUUUAAAAAAUUCUCAAACAAACACAACUUAAAACUCCGUCAACAUUCCAAGAGCCCCUACAUGCAAGUCGGACCUAAAAAACUCUUUGCACGUGCGAGGAGGUAAAGCGUGCGAACCUGAUUAAUAAUAACAGGAACGAAGGGCAAUAGUGUAUAUACUGUAUACAUAGACGGAAUCGUCAAUCCAGCAUCACAGAGAAAGAAGAAAAAUCCCUAAAUGGCGACGGCGAUGUUCAGAUCUAGUAUUCGCUCCGCCCUCCGCGGCGGCGCAUCUCGUGUAACGCCGGCAUCAAAGAGGACUUUCGCUUCCCACGCCUCCGUAGAAGAAGAGGCCCGUAUGUAAACUUUAAUUAAUUUUCUAUUUGGAUUAGGUUUCCCAUUUGUAAACCUUAAUACUGAUUUUUCUUUUAUAUACUGAUUGUUAGAAAUCACAAUUUUUGAUUUUCUCACGGAUGUUUAUUUGCUUGAAUAGAACCUAGAUCUUAUCUUCUGUUGGAAUGUGAUUAAAGAGAAACUGAAUUAGAUGUGCAUUUCGUUAAAAAUGAGAAUUAUGAAAUUGGCUUGAGCGGUAUUGAGCUAUUGAUAUAAGAUUGGUAUGAUGAUUCUUACUAGUUUGGGAUAGAGAUUUAGUGGAUUCAUUUUGCUUAAAGUGAUUAACUUGAACGUGUAUCUUCAUAUUCUGUUGGAAUGUUAUUUAAGUGAAAUUGACUUAGAAUUGCAUUUUUUUAAAAAUGAUAACUUGUUGAUAUAAAAUUGGCCUGAGUUGGAUUGAAUUAUUGAUAUGAGAUUGGUCUGAUGAUUCUAAUUAGUUUGGGAUUGAGGCGUAGAAGUUUUGUUUUUGCUUAAAGUGAUUAACUUGAACGUGUAUCUUCAUAUUCUGUUGGUGAAAUUGACUUAAGAUGUGCAUUUUAUUAAAAUGAUAACUUCUUGAUAUAAAAUUGGAGUGAGCUGGAUUGCACUAUUGAUAUGUGAUUGGUAUGAUGAUUCUAACUAGUUUGGGAUUGAGGCUUAGUAGAUUUGUUUUUGUUUAGAGUGAUUAACUUGGACGUGUAUCUUCAUAUUCUAUGGCCAGGGGAAGCUGCUAAAUGGGAGAAAAUCACUUACGUUGCAAUAAUAACCAGCACUAUUCUUGCGGUGGUUAAUCUCGCCAAGGGUCAUUCUCAUAGUGAAGAGCCUCCUGUAAGCUUUGUCUAUGAAUUUGUUUUACUUUCUUUGAUGUCAAUAAUCUUAGUUUUUUUUGGUUCUCAACAGUAGGUUCCGUGUCUAUCUUGUCGUUUUAGAUGCAGAUGUUCGGUUAAUUUUAGAAAUUCAUAUUGUUUAUGUCUAUCAGAGGGAUGUUCACUUGGUCCUUUUCAAGUAGUGGAAAUGCUUGUUUGGUCCUUAUAGUCCUCGUAAUAGCCUUAAAAAUAGUGUAAAUAAGUGCAAUGUGUAGGAAAAUAUCAACAUAUUCAUAAUGAUACAACCAUUAAAAGGUUUAAGCAGCUGGAAUUUUUACCAACACUUCCUUUUGCAAGGGGGAUCUUUAAGUGUUUAACGUAUUAAAUUCAAAUUUAAAGAGGGUAGUUAUGGCAUAACUCCUUUUUUUUUUUUAAAACAUCAUGAUGAGUCUCUGGUUAGUUUCCAGAGAAAUAAAAUUCUAUGAAUAAGAUGACAUGAGUUCACUGUGUUGACACCCAAGUUUGGCAUAAUAUUGGCAAAAUUAAUACUUUUAGGCUUCUUAUUUGUUAAAUAACAUACAAUAUAAUUUUUACACACUAUUCAAUUUUAACACAAUUUAUUGGUACUUAUCCUUAUUUCUAAAAAUAUUAGGAUUUUUAUCAAUUUAUUAUCAUUUUUUAGUUAAUUUCAAUUAUCGCUAGUUUUGGUCACAUCCAUUUUGUAUGUGAACAAAAUUUGUUUCAGUUUUAUUAAACUAUCAUUGAUUGUUAAUUCAAAUCACAUUUUUUACAUGACAUUAGAUACCAUUUUAUGUUUUAUUAUUUUUAGAACAGUCUAUUUUUUUUUAUUACAGGUAAAUUAAAUAGCUUAUGGUAUUGGACACAUGGUUUUAGAUAGCGCUUAAUAUUGGGUACAUGGUUUUUAAAAGCCCAUGGUAUUGGGCAUAUGGUUUUGAACAUAAGAUGGUUUUAUCUUGUCUAUAUAACUAAUUCAUUCUCUUUACAAUUUUGGGUGGUGAAGGUAGCCUAAUAUUCACGUAUCGUCAAUAAUAUAGAUAAACACAGCGAGCAUUGAAGUUUCCUUUUCCAACAAAGUCACUUGAAUUUCAUCUUAUUAUUAUUACUUUCUUUCCAAAUCUAUAGCGAUAGGCAGAUAAUGUGAUUAAAACAGAGAAAAAUAAGGUCGCUGGAGAACUUUUUUUUGAACUAGGUAACUUAAGGUCGCUGGAGAAUGUAAUACAUUGUUGUCAGAAAACGUCAAAAAUAAAACCCAAGCCUGUAACAAACAACAAUAGUGAUAAUUGUUGAGAAAAAAAACAAUGAACAUCACCAGAGUUUUAAGCUUGGCCAGAUUUCAGAAACGGGAAGGGAAAAGGGAAAAAGAGACGACGGACAGAGUUGGUGGCGGGCAGAUCUGGUUCGCAAGUUUGAGCCCGCUGUUGAGGGAAAAAACUGGUGAACAGCAUCAUGAGAGUUCUCUGAUUCACCUGAGUUUGGAACCGUUGGUGUGUCGUGAUCAUGGCUAGGUUGUUUUUCUGGAGUUCGCUAACUCUGACAGAAACGAAGAGAGGGUUGAAGGGGUUGGUCGAUUGUUGGGAGAAGGAGGCGAGGGAGAGAGUUGCGGCGUGGUUAGGAUGUGGUGUUGAGCUCCGGUGAGCUCGCUGGUGGCUGGUUGUGUUGCUGUUGUGGGCUUGUGGCAUUUUGCCGGAAUUCGAUGUGAGGGAGAGUUAAAAGGCGUGAAGCAGCUAGUGGUGGUGGUCGUCAUUGGUUGUUAGUGGUGCAAUUGUUGGAGUUCUGGCAGUGGGUAAAGGGAGUGAUACUCAUGAGUUAUUUCUUUUAGGGGAUAGAAAAUGGGAGAGGACGGUUUUUGGGCUGUUGCCAAAUCUGUAAAUUUUUCACCAUCCAAAAUUGUACGGAGAAUGAGUAAGUUUUAGAGGCAAAGUAAAAUCAUCUUAUGGCAAAACCGUGUGCCCAAUAUCAUGGGCUUUGCAAAAUAAUGUCCCCAAUACCAUGGGCUAUCUAAAAUCAUGGGUCUGAUGCAAUGGGAUAUUUAAUUUGUAUGUGUUAACAUAUUUUUCCUGGCUUCCAUGUAUUAAUAGAAUGUUCUAAAAAUAGUAAAAGAUUAUAUAAAUAAAGCAUCACUUCAUCAAAAAUUUUUACUUUAAAAGUUAUAUAAAUAAAGCAUAAAAUUGUAUCUAAUGUCAUGAAAAAAACUUGAUUUAAAUAAAGAGAAAUGAGAAUUUAAUAAAACUGAUACAAUAAUUUGUUUAUAUGCAAAAUGAUUGUGACAAAAAAAGUGAUAAACGAAAUUAACUAAAUUGGUAAAAUCCUAAUAUUUAGAAACAAGGAUAAUUAUCAAUAAAUUGUGUUAAAAUUGAAAAAAGUUGUAAAAAGUUGUAUUUUGUGCUAUUUAAUGAAUAUAUGAAUUCUAAAAGUAUAAUUUUGACAAUAUUUUGCCAAAAUUGGGUGUCAUAACACUGAAUUAUGAAAUCAUUUCAAUUAUUCCUUGUAUGUGCUUAAGAUAUUCUAAUAAUUGUAGGAAGUAUUUAGCCUGUCUAUUGAAGCUAGAUAUCAAUCACCAAUAGAAUAUAGAGUGUAACAAUGUAAUGGUGGUGUAAGGUGUUGGAACCACUAAGGAAGGAGUGGCAGUUGGAGAAAAGGAAUAAUAAUAUUUUUCUUUUGUGAUACACAGUUGUGUCCUUUCUAGUUUGCGUGCUCCUCGACGUUUUCCACGGGGUUGUUACUACCCUCCACCCCAAGGCCUAGAAAAGAGGAGGAAUGCAUUUCUUAAGAAAUUCAAAAUGACGGAAGAUGGUUCUUUUUAUGUUCAUUUGUUUAAUUUCCAUUAUUUUGCUGCUAGAUCAAUGUAAAGGGUAAAGUAUAAAUUGUAAAUCCUAUUUUAUGUGAUAAUUGACUUAUGUUUUAUAGUAGUGGUCGUUGAAAAAAAUAUUUAAAUAGUUGUUGUGAAGUUAAAUUGACAGAAUAUAAAAGUUCCAAUAUAAUUAGUUAAAUUAAUUUGAAUUCUUGAAUUAGUGGAAGAGGUGUCGGACUAUUCUUGUGAAUGGUUCCAUCAUUUUUGUGAUGUUUCCAAAAUGGAAUAUUCAUAUAUUUGGAUUAGGAAGGAGUUUCGGAAACAACCUCUCUACUUCUUCGGAUGUAGUGGUAUGGACUGCGUACAUUUUACUCUCCCCAGACCCCACUAUGUGGGAUUAUACUGGUUUGUUGUUGUUGUUGUUGUUGUUGUUGGACUAGGAAGGAGUUGGUUUUUUAUUUAGGAAAAAGGAUUGAGAUUUCAAUUAUAGAAAGGAAUUUGAACAAUUAGGCAUCGCAUAGAGACGUUUACUACAAGUUGGUCUUUUGAGAAGCCAACAUCGGUAUUUCAAUCCUAGGUAUUUUGGCUAUUGAUUUGAGAUUGCAUGGAGGGGGAUGUAUUGAUGCUUUUAUGAAGGAUAGUUAGUGUGUCUCAAUCUAUUUACUUCAAGAUGACAAGGUAAAAGAUUGUUUUGCUGCGACAUGUCUUUGGAUUCAAGUCAAUAAUAUGUUUUUUCCCUCACUCUGUGUAACCUAUUAUUAUUUUUUAUGUCUGUCUGCUUGCAGGCUUACCCAUACUUGCACAUUCGCAACAAGGAGUUUCCAUGGGGUAAUAAUGUGACAAGUCAUUUUCUGAUUUUCUAUCUGUAUAAUUUCAUGUUUAUGCACUCAUGCUUGGUGGUUUGAUUGUAUCUGGCCUUUGAUCGUUGCAAUGCCGUUACCAGUUUUCAACACUUGUUUAAUAAGGAGUUUUACUGAUGUAUUACAUUUUACUUUUUUUAACUUUUUGGGGUUAAAAAAUGUUGCAGCAUGAUUCCAAUGGACUAAAGGGGUUGGAAGUGUUCUCCUGCUGUUAUCCUAAUUGAUUACCUGAUAGUAGUGGGGCUGAUUUUUGCAUGAUCUUUUUCUCCCUUGGGACUUGAUGCCAAAUGUUGAAAUAAUUGAGCAUAAGAGCAUUAUGUUAGUAUAUUAUAUGCAUCAUUUGGAAAAAAAAGGCAGGAAAAAAUUGCUCGACUUUUAAAAGUAGGUACAAAAAAUGCAACUUACUCCCUUGGUGUCCCCUAAUCCGUUUUGGAAUUGAUGAUGUUUGCUGAAAUACUUAAAAGUGGUGGGUAAUUCAGGUCAACCUUUAUUUAUAUGGCCUGGUGUUGUUGCCAUUUUGGCAGAUAAUGCAAUGAGUGACUUUCUCGCUGUGAAAAGAAAAUCAGAGUUGUCAUCUUCUGCUACAUAUGUAUACCUGUUGUUUUGCCGGAUGAUAUUCAAAAACUUUGAAUGCCUGUGCUGCAGGCCUCAUUUUUAAAGUAAACGGGACGUGCCGAUGCGUAUUUGUAUUGUUUUAGUAGUUAAUUCAGGGCCCAUAGCGUGUUGUUGUACGCUUUCUAGGAUAUACUUAUUUCUGAUGAUGAAAUUUCCAUGUUUGCCAUAUUUUGUGCUUGCGUUUUGAUCUGCUACCUGGUUACGCAAUGUUGUGAUACUAUUUUCCUCUGGCCUUUGGUGAAUGCAGGUCCAGAUGGCCUUUUUGAGUCCAAGCACCACUGAAACUGCAUGGUUUCUCUGUGAAGGCAUUAAAAUAAUUCCUGUCCAUCUGCAAGUAUCAUCAUAAUAUUGUGGUGUGAAAGCUUUUGAAUUUUCAUGAGAUGUCUUCUAUUGGUUCUUUUCAGUACAAGAAACUGUUGUCCUUACUUUGACGUAUCUGUAUUUUGCACUAUGCUCUUGCUUCUUACAAAGUGCUUUUUAAAGAAUAAGUAUUGAGGGAUGAUUAAGUCAUUCCAGUCAUUCUUUUCAAUAUGUUUGCUGUUAAAUGCCCCAUUCUGCUUAAUGCAUGUGUGUCAUGUAGAGUUAUUGAAAUACAGGAUUAUGUUUCUUCGUCUUUUCAUCCUGGCCAACAUUUUUUCAUGGUUUAUAUUCUGUAUAAUUCGUUCUUAUUGGCACAAUUUAAGGAUGGAGACGGUUAAUUUUUGCUGUCUAAACCUGCCGUUGCAUGUGCGCUACAAUACGCUUGGCAAAAAGAUUCUGAUAACUAGAUUAUGCGCUACAGAACUACCAAGUAGCGGAUGUGGCAUUGUCUAAAAUUUUGUUGAACUAGUGUAAGAUUUCAAAUAUUGCUAGUGAAGAGACAUGAUUCGUAAUUUUGUAAGGACGUAUUUGGUGACCGUUUGUCCGUUACGAUGUCCUGUAAUCUUUUCCUUUCCUGGGAAAUUUGUUCAGAUGAUAUUUGGGUGGAGUUGUAAAAAGAAGUCUCGACAUAAACUGCAGGUUUGUUUUACACAAUGCCUGUAGUGAAAUAUCUUUUUUCACAUAAAACUUGGCAUGAUUCAUUGCAAGGUUUGGUUUGGAAUUUCUUAUAUGCGUAACUAAAAACACUCUUCUGCACCGUAGUUUACAAUAGAAUCUCUGCAUCUCUAUUUAAGUUAAUGGAUUUACCUAGGAAGUCUAGGAGAAAAUGCAAUGAAGUGUUUCAAGACCGACUUGAAUUGUUUUUUUUUCUUUUAUUGAAUUGAUCCCACCAGAACAGAACAUUACCAUAACUCUACUAUUCCACGCCUAUCCGAACUUCAGACCCUCCGAACUUCAGACCCACCACAACGAAGUUUUUGAGUAUACUAAGGAUUACCCAUAUCGAGAAGUAGAUUUCAAGCUCACUUCUAAAGACUCUCGUAAAUAUCUCUAAUAUUGGCUGUUCUAUAGAAACCAAACUUUUGAGAGGAAAAGGGUAAAAAGAACAGUAACUUCAGUUCGUAGAAGAACAGUAAACUUUAGGAAAUAUUACUCAAUUUGAUAAAAGUUGGAACAAUGUGAUACUACAUGUCACGGGAAGUGAGACCUAUAAGCACUUAAUGUAUCAUCUGUAAGAAUGGAGAAUUUUAUGAUUGACCUUAAUUUUCUAUCUCCUAUUCACAACAUUUUGAAUGAGACGAAGAAUCUCCCUGACUUAAAAGCCAGCAAUCAAAUAAGAAAUUCUUCAUGACUUUAAAGCCAGCAACCAAGUGUGAAAAACGAUGCUACCAUUUCCUAUGUUCUUGUUGAAAAAUUAAAGUGGUGUUUGUAUACUUUUUGAAGAAAAAAUUGUGUAGAACUAAAAAUGUUAUUGUAAGCGCUUGCUAGAAUGUAUUUUCAGAUAGUGUUGUCAACUGAUUUUUGUCCCCUCAGAUACUAUGGUGAGAAGCACCUUAUAAUUCAAUGACUAAAAUUGAUUACUCAGAUGCUUUUGGCAGUAAGUUCUAAAGAUGAAGAAAUCUUUUAUCAUUAAUAAUGCACGGAAUAUUGCAAGAUUAGACAUGCCGAUAGACGUUUAUGUGAUAAGAGAUGAUAAAGAAACUAAGUUGUGCGCAACAUCAAACUAUAUAUUUGUUACAUGAUGACUCUUCGUCUUCGGCAUCGACAGGCAAGCCAACCGAAGUUAUCUCACUAUCAUAUUACUGCCUUAGACUUUGAACAAGGCAACAAGAAGAAAGAAUGUGAAUAAAACUUUGGCAUAAAAAUAGUAGUACUAGGUAUCUAUAUUACUCUGCUGCAGCUUCUUCCUGACUGUUCCCCUCAUUUCCUGUCUGUGGCAAUGUUCCCACGUCAGUACGAGUCUCUGUCUCUUCUUUAGGAAUUGCAGAAUCUGUCGACUCGACUUGGUUUUGCUGGCUGUCAUCAGGAUUGCUGUUUGAACUGGAAGAAUCAGUCGAUUUGUUUUGAUCUGCGUCUGUCUCGUCAUUAUCAUUUGAGGGAUUUAUUUUGUUCUCAGAGCCUGGAUCAGAUUUCUGGUUCGUCUCAUUCUGAUCGUUCCCACCUCCAGUUGACUUCUCAGUUGCACCAGCUGUUACAGUGUUGCCAUUUUGGUCAACUGAUCCAACAGAUUCAGCGCGUUUUGAACUUGUUAUUGAUUCUUCAUCUGCCGAGGAAUUUGAAUCUUUUUUCUCAGAUAGCUGCUCAUUUGGAUCGUUCUGCGUGCCAUCUCCAACAGAAACAGCCUCCUUAAUUGAGUUGUUCUCAUUUUGUGCGGUUCGAGUGGCAGAACUGUCAUUUUCCUGCUGCUGUUUGUUGGCAUCAUUGGUUCCUCCUGCAAGCUUGGAGUCCUCACCAGAGUUGUUCUCAUUUUGUGUGGUAUGAGUGACAGAACUUUCAUUUUCAUUGGUUCCUCCUCCAAGAUUGGAGUCUACACCUGAGUUGUUCUCAUUUUGUUUGGUGCCAGAGGCAGAACUGUCCUGUUCCUGCUGCUGCUUACUGGUUUUGCUGUUUUCUGCUACAGCAUUGGAGUCAUCACUAGAGUUUUUCUCAUUUCCUUGCUGAUGUUCAUUUGCUUCAUUGGUUCCUCCUGCAUGAUCUGAGUUAUCACCAGAGUUCUCAUUUUGUAUGCUAUGAGAGGUGGAGCUUUCAUUUUCUUGCUGAUGUUCAUUGGCUUCAUUUGUUCCAGUUGCAGCAUUGGAGUUAUUAUUACUGUUGCUUUCAUUUUGAAUGGUUUCAGAGGCAGAAUUGCCACUUUCUGUCUGCUGGCUAGUGGCUUCAUUGGUUCCAUCUGCAGCAUUAAAACUGUCCCCAGUGUUGCUUCCAUUACUCACUUCUCCAGCAGCAUUUGCAUCUGCAGAACUGUUUUGUUCAAGCAUCUUAUGUUCUCCAGACUCUGAAUCCAACUUGUUCAGACUUUCAUCACUAGUGUCGUUCUUGCUUUUCUUGUCUUGCAACUCAUCUUCUCCCUUCUUGGAUUCCUCCUCAUUGUUCAAGGCAACAUUACCAUCGCCUUCUGUCCCUUUCACGUUUUCAGAUUCUGAUGUCUCUUUAACCAACGAACUUCCUUCCUUGCUUUUUUCUACUGUUGAAGCCUCAUUAGUCAUAUCAAUUUCAUCGUGAACCUUGUCUUCUGAAGAGGCAGAUUCUUCAUUUUUGCUUAGGUUAUCUUCCUUCUCUUUACUGGCUUCAUCAUUCUUCUCUUCUGCGCUCUCGUCAUUCUCUUUUACUUUGCCUUCAUUACUUUCCUCCAACUCCACCGACUUCUUUUCGCUUUCAUUUUCAACUACUUCGUUGCUUUUACUCGUAGAAGUUUCUUCACUUCCAUUCUCUUCGCUUUGUGCCUUCUCUUCUUUCAAAUCAGUUCCUGCGUCAACAUUUCCCUCAGUUCCCUUCUCUUCACUUUCACUUUCCUUGUCAGUGUUCUCAUUAAAAUCCUUGUCUUCCUUUUCCGACUCCUGGUCCUUACUUUCUUCGCCACUUUGCUCACUGUUGUUGGUAUUAGUGUCAGUGGCUUCCUCAUUACUCUCACCUUUGCCAUCUUCACUACGCUCUUUGCUUUCUGCUUCAGCAUUGCCUUCUCCCCUCACUUCUUUCUCCUGGAUUUUUUCCGUUCCUCUAUCCUCAUCCACCAAUUCCGCUUUAUGCUCCCUAUCCUCCGCUGAUUUUUCAAGAUCAUGGCCAUGCUCCUCCACUUUGGCGUCAUCAUCAAAACGCUUAAGCUCGUCUUCCUCUGUCACCUUGGUCAGCUUCUCAUCAUCAACAUCUACUUCCUUCUUUAGAGGUUGGAGGUCCUUCCUUCCAAACCUGAUAACAUCAUUGUCAGUCUGUACCUUCUCUGAGACGCUUGCAUUUUGUUCAAAAGAUGCUUUCUUGCUACGUGAGUGCUGGACUUGGUAAAGCAGCCAGAUACAAACACCAACAAGUACACAUAUCUGAAGAGCAUGCUUCACCUUAAAACCUUUAUUUCUCUGUUGGUUUCUACGCGGUGAGUUCUUGAACAUGAUGAUUUACUUUGAAUCCAACAACACCUUAAAAAAAAAGAUCCAACCAAAAAAAAGAGGUGCAAUUUAGGGGCUUGAGCCAGAGAAAAUCCACGAAAACACUAAUUUUAGCUUUACGCAUACUGAUACAUCAAGAGAAUAACACCAAGGUGGUAUAUCUAAAGAAAACAAAACAACGAUGCUGGUUAACAGAGACCUCAAACAAUUCAGAACCAUCAGCACACAAUACGAGACUAUCAAAUUCUAAGUUGCGCGGACUCUACACUUUCGAUGCCACAUCCGCGUCGGAUUCUCCAAAAUACACUACCUUUGAAGAAUCCGACACGCACCAGUUGGCAUUUUAGCAAAUCAAAUUAGAUUAGUUAAACUAAGGAUUGGUCACUUUCUGGAUCUGAGUAUUUACGUAAUUACUUUCAUCCAGAUCUAAACAGUGGCCAGAGGAGCUAAGAAAUUCAGCAGCAUAUGCUGCAAUAAAUUUGGCAGAUAACUUCAGUGUACAUAUAUCUGCAUAUUGUCUUUGAAUCAACAAACAAGUUCUCAAUCAUUUAUUCAACUCAACAAAAAUUCAAACAUGAGACACAAAUAGGGAAUCAUUUCAGCACAAUCAUUGAACUGUCAACGUGUUACAUAAUUUAAAAUCAAGUACUACUAAUUUAACAUAUUGAAGAGUGGCAGGCAUUUGAAACUGCAACAAUCAAAGCAAAUCAAGAAACACAAACACAUUGUUUUCAAAAAUAUUUGCAUUUGUUGAAUAUUAUCCUAACCAACUAAUCAAAAACAAACCCAAAUUUGAAAUCUUUACACAAAACUAUAAUAGAAAAAAGAUGAAAUGAAGAAAACGGCAUACCUGAUUCACUGUCUCAGAGUCUUGAUGCAAGAUCCCAAAUUGAAAUGAAGCAAAAGUAGGUAACUUUAUAGGCAAAUUUGAUCAAUGAUUAGAAUGGAAGGAAAGGUGCAAUAAGAUCCUUAAACUGCAAACUAAAUAAUAAUAAUAAUAUAAUAUGACAAUAGUAUGGUUGUAUUACUGGAACCCCAUACACAAUAUUGUUUGAAAUGGUUUAAGAAUUUUAUGGGUGGCAAGUAGUUUUUGUAGAGGUUGAUUCAACAACUAUCAGGAAGAGGUGAAGACGUGACCUUUUUUAACCUUUUAUGUUCAGAUCAAGAUCCAGUUUUUCUCACUUUAUUUGAAAACCACACAUAUUCUCUUUCUUUUAUACUGACCCCCCGCCCCACACCCACACCCCAAUCUCUUCUACUUGAUAAAUAUGGUAUUUGUGAAAAAAGGGAACAAUUUGAGAUUUGUUGCGGUAUUAUAAAUUAGUAUAAAUUAAAAAUUAUUUUACUGAAAGUAAAGAUAAUUUUUAGCUUAAAUUAUUUUUAAUUAUAAUAAAACUAUAUUCAUUGAGACGAAUUUAAAAGGAAAUACUUCCUCCGUUUUAAAAAACAAAUAAUUUUUUUUGUGGAUUUUGAAAAAAUNNNNNNNNNNNNNNNNNNNNNNNNNNNNNNNNNNNNNNNNNNNNNNNNNNNNNNNNNNNNNNNNNNNNNNNNNNNNNNNNNNNNNNNNNNNNNNNNNNNNNNUUUUAUUUUAUUUUUUAAAAAAGUUAUAUUAAAUUAAAAUAAAUCAAUUUUUUUAAAGGGAGAGAGAACGUACUUAUCACAUAAGAUGGAGGGAGUAGUAAUUUUAAAACAACUGUUGCGUUUACACUGGCACCUCUCAUCCUCAUUUCCUUAUCACAAAAAUGACACUGUUGUGAGCAGUUACGUCGUCGUUUUAUAAACCAAAUGUUACUGUAAAGUGGAGAAGCUGCCACGUGUCACUAAUAACUCCGUCGGUGAACCGGUGACUCGGUGUUUAUUUAUUUUAUUAUUCUAAAUACACAAACCGCUGGUUCAGAAAUCGGCGAAUUUGGAAAGAUGUUCUCGAAGAUUCUAACAACAGCGUUGCGCCGCACUACACCUAAACCCUGCCAUGUCCAUCGCCGUCUUCGCCGUUUCUCCACGGCGGCAGCGGUAGUCGGAGAACAAUAUGAGGAGGACUCUACCGGAAUCACGAUGAAAGGUGUAAAAAUCUCCGGUAGACCUUUAUACCUAGAUAUGCAGGCGACUUCUCCGAUCGAUCCUAGGGUUCUCGACGCUAUGCUUCCUUACCAUAUCUCCCAAUUCGGGAAUCCACAUUCUAGAACUCACUUUUACGGGUGGGAAUCCGAUCAGGCUGUGGAGGCGGCCCGAGCUCAAGUUGCCGCCCUGGUUCAAGCUUCUCCGAAAGAGAUAAUUUUCACCUCAGGUGCUACAGAAUCGAAUAAUAUCUCGGUUAAGGGAGUUUUGCAUUUUUAUAGAGAUAAGAAGCGACAUGUUAUUACUACUCAAACGGAGCAUAAAUGUGUUUUGGAUUCUUGUCGUCAUUUACAGCAAGAGGGAUUUGAUGUAACUUACCUUCCCGUUGAGUCUGAUGGACUUGUUGACCUAGAAAAGCUUCGGGCUGCGAUACGGCCUGAUACGGGGUUAGUGUCAAUUAUGAUGGUGAAUAAUGAAAUUGGUGUGAUUCAGCCUAUGGAGGAAAUUGGAAAAAUUUGUAAGGAGUUUAAUGUUCCUUUCCAUACUGAUGCUGCACAAGCGUUGGGGAAGAUUCCUAUUGAUGUGGAGAAGAUGAACAUAAGUUUGAUGUCCUUAAGCGGGCAUAAAAUUUAUGGGCCGAAAGGUGUUGGAGCUUUGUAUAUUAGGCGUAGGCCGAGGAUUAGGGUUGAACCUCAGAUGAAUGGGGGUGGACAAGAGAGAGGGAUUAGGAGUGGGACAGUACCGACUCCGUUAGUGGUAGGGUUUGGGGCAGCUUGUGAACUUGCAAUGAAGGAAAUGGAAUAUGAUGACAAGAGGAUUAAAGCUUUGCAGGAGAGGUUACUGAAUGGUAUAAGGUCUAAGAUCGAUGGAAUUGUUAUAAAUGGAAGUGUUGAAAGGCGAUAUGCUGGUAAUUUGAACUUAUCUUUUGCGUAUGUGGAAGGAGAGAGCUUGUUGAUGGGGCUGAAGGAGGUUGCAGUGUCAAGUGGAAGUGCGUGCACCAGUGCAAGUUUGGAGCCAUCCUAUGUGUUGAGGGCGUUGGGAGUUGAAGAAGAUAUGGCCCAUACAUCAAUUCGAUAUGGAAUUGGGAGGUUUACUACUGAGCAAGAGAUUGAUCGUGCGGUUGAUCUUACAGUUAACCAGGUUGAGAAAUUGAGGGAAAUGAGCCCACUCUAUGAAAUGGUUAAAGAGGGCAUUGAUAUAAAGAGUAUACAGUGGUCACAGCAUUAGAUUGAUUGCCAAAUGAUUGGCAUUGAGAUGAUAACUGCCACUACAUGAGCAUGUGGAAUGAAGUUGAUCGUCCAGGUUCUUGUUCAGAAUAUUUUAUGCAUGUUCUUGAGCUUAGAGGCUAUUUUAAUGAGUUAAGUUUCUGUAAUAAGACAUACUGUCGUCGACUGUAAUUUGACACUAUAGUUGUGUAUGAUAUAGAUGUUGAGUUGCUUUAGUGACACGAAGGAUGUAGCAUCUAUUUUGGUAAAAAUGAUGGGUGUUUCUCCCUUGCAUUUUGGUUUCUCAUAUUUCGCUUAUGACCGUUAAGAAGCCUAUAAGAUUUAAUUUAGACCCAAUUGUGUUUGCAUGAUUAUAGCAGGAAAGCUUAUGGUGUUCUGAUUAUCUUAGGAUAUAAUUUAGGGUGAUUCUACUGCAUCCAAUAAUUUGCACUCACUUCCUACACGUCAGGGAUUGGAUGCCCGUGGCAUAGCUGGCACUUUUAUCAUCUGGUAUUUUGGUUUAAUAAAUUCUAGGGAACUCAGAAUGAAAUUUACUUUGUAUCUUUGAUUAUGUGUGGGCGCCUUGCCCUGUGUCCUUCAUUGCUGUUUGAUUGAUGCCAUAUUGCCAUCAUUGUUUAAGGUCCUCCGCUUCUAGUUGAUUUUGUAAUCAACUGAAUUCUGUGAAUUAAUGUUUCUGGUUAUAUGACAAAUUGAACUCGACGUUUCACAUUUGAUUUUGCAAGAUUUGAUUCUACUGUAAUGAACACCUUGAUUAGGGUGAUAACAUUUGCCUUGAUCUAUUGAAUUUUUGUGUGUGCCUCCUACUGUGAAGCUCUUCUGAUUGAUAUGUCUUACCAGGGGUUUUCUGGUAUAUAUGAUGUCAUAGGCUACUAGGUGUUUGUUAGUUUCUUUUUGAAAGUCAGUUCUGGGGAGACCUACUGCUAGCAGAUCAUGGAGGGACUUAGAUCCAUGGAAUCCUAGUCUAUUUUACUACCUUCUUCCUCUUCCCGUGAAUAUACCAUAGUCGGCAUAGGAAAAAAGAACAGAAAAAUGAAAAGCAAACAGUUCUUGGACUACAUAAUAGUAUAAAUUAUCAGUAGAUAAUAUCAGUUCUUGAGAAAUUUAAUCAGAAGAAUGAAACAAAAACUUCAUGUUGUAACAUCUAAUCUUCUUCACCUAUGGGUUUCUUGGACUCUUCAAAGGUACUGCUGGGUGUUUGUUGAAUCCUUAAAAACCUAUGCACUUUUGAGGAUCCUUCAUGGGUACAAAAUAUUUGGGUGGGUCCAAGACACAUAGCUCUUCACAACAUGGCCAAUAACACUGAAAUUGAAGCCAUUUUAUGUAGACAGAUGAGCCACUAAAGUCAUUGUACCAUAGAAAGUCUACCAUUGGUAAUUAAAUUGUUGUUGAACGUAACUUUAGUGUAUAUUAAUUAAAUUCAGUAGUAAAAGAGAAGAUUUCAAUUGGGACAUCUGAAGCUGAUUGUACAAACCAAUGCAGCCAGCAUCAAGUCUCUUUAGGCUGGCCUCACAUGAAGUUCUAGCAUACCAGGGAUCUCUAAAUUUUUUCUAUUUUUCCAUUAGCACAACUAAUAAGAAACUUGUUCCCAAGUCAUUUCUUUAUAAAUCAGAGUAUAGAUUGACAAUUGUUAAUGUUGAUCACAAUCAUCUUUACAACUAGAUUGUGUACUUCAUAAAUAGUGUGAUUAUAAGUUUGAAUUUAGUUCUUAGCACAAGCUAAAAUUGAUCACUUGUUAGUAUUAGGAAGCACACAAGGACUCAAUCUGAAAAUUGCUCCUAUUUUUAUAAUUACCGCAUGUGUAGCAUGUCUUCCAAAGGGAAAGACGCUAUUUCCUUAUUUGUCAAAAAUGGGUAAGACACAUGGCCGAAUGUAAUUGGACGGAGCUCUCUCGAUUUAAGCUAACUCUCGAUUUAAGCUAACUAACAGAAGAAAAGAAAAAUAGAAUAACUUACAAGAGACUCAACUUAUCUGUACAUAACGUAGUGGGAAUAUUGAUAGUUUUUAUUACUUGCAUGUACUGCUUUGACAUUAGGGAUCUGCACUAUUAGUACUCCAUUAGCUAACGAAAGAGACAAGAUAAAAAAUCAUUUUAAUUGUCCAAACUGAUUCUUCUGCCAUUCACUCUAAUUCUAUUAAGGUAUUGAUGUGUAUUAUUUACAUCUAUUUUAUUUUAAUACAUAAUAACAAGUGUAGUCUGUUUCAGUUUCUGCAGUAGACUAAUUAAUGCAAAGUCUUGUGUUGGGUAGGCCUUUUUAGUUUUAUCCUAAAUGUCAUCUGUUUGAACAUGAUUACCUUUACCUUCUUUAUUCCAGGUGAUGUAAAAUUCAUUUUGGUGCAACCAACCUUGUUUUGGUUAAAUACAUUCAGCUCUUUAGUUUUUUUCGUAUUUUGGAAAAUUUCACGAAUUAAAGAAUUAUGAGGGAUUAAGAUAUCUCACCAUGUUGCUAUUAUUGGGAAAUUCAGAGGAGAAAUAACUAUGUUUAGCUUACUGUUUGUAGUGCUACCCGUAUAUGUUAUUACUCUGGCACUUGGCCUCUUCUGUUGUAGAUGAGACUUCGACCAAGGUGAAAGCCCAUAACGAAAUCUAUCUUUUGUCAAUUCACUCAGAUAUCUUUUGUGAGAUUAGUAAAGAGAUUAGGAAAAUUUAUUGAAGAUAAAGUCACUUGUAAAAUUUCUUUUCACUGAGGUGAAUUGAUGCAAUCUAACACUGAUUGUUUAAUCAACUUAUCCUUUUUUUUUGAAUAUUAUUCUGUUAAUUUACUGUCAAUGUAGCACCCAAGGGUGUGACUAAUGGUUUAAUGAAGUGGGUUGAGCACCAUGAGGUCUUCGGUUCAAUUCCCAACAGAGAUAAACACUAAGUGAUUUCUUUCCAUUUGGAAAGAGUUUACCCGGUACCUGUUAUUGGUGGGAGGUGGCAGGUAGCCCGUGGAUUUAGUUGAGGUGCACGCAAGCUAGCCCCAUGGCUAUCAAAAAAAGAAAUUCACUGUCAUCAUAAUAAUUUACAGCGUGUAUUGUUGAGCUCCGUUCUUGAUAAUAACUUCAGUUCCAGAUUUAUUGUAAUUGCACAUAGUUUUCGUUUGGAUUCUUCUGUUAGGUUUAGCUGGUUUUGGCAGUCAUGCCAAUGUAAAAUGAUUUUUGCUCCAACAAUUAUUGCAGAAUAUGUGGUUUGGUGUGCUUGAUUAAUUUUUGAAAGUAUUAGCACUUCUUCUCUCAGUCUGCUGGCUUUGGAAGAGCAAAAGCUCUCACUACCAAGCUGCGGACUGAGCUGAUACUCAUAGAAAAUGACGAAUUACGGGCACCAGUAAUGUGCUUGAAGAUCAACUACAUCCUAUAUUCUUUGUGUAUUACCUAUAUUUACAAUAUGCUGAAACGUAACAAGAAGGUCUUACUUCUCUUUGCUUUAUUUAUUCCUACUACUCAUAAGUUGACAAGAACCUUCAUGCCCAUAGACCAGAUCUUAUUAGCGUGUGUUUAGUCUUGUGAGGUCAUUCUUUGAUUCAGGCUUAGUGCCACUUGAAAUUGUUUUCGUUGACUAAAUGCCAUAUCGUAACUUGCAUGGUAUAGUAGAAAGUGAAAAACUGAUCUGUAAAAGUGCAAAUCAGCCUAUAAUACAAGCAAUUCUUUUCUGAAUUGGAAAGCCUUUGACUUGUAUUACAGUUUGAAUUCUUUAAUAUUUGUGGCGAAACUAUUUUUCAUGCUUUAUCCUUAUUGUUGCCUUGUUGUUCGCGAAGACUUGGAGUUUUGUAUUAAUUUUCACUAUCCAGCUGGAAAUGAACAAUGAUUUAUAUCUAUUGAGUGAAAGUCCUUCAAUAUUGGUGAAUUUAACUUGCUCAGUCGAAGAUGCCUUAGGUCACAUUGAGACAAGAAGCACAAGCACGCUCAAUUGGUAGGGAAGUCUUUGCAGCUUGAGUUCAUUAACAAUAAGAAUUGGAGUUGUUGAUUAGUUAUUUAGUUGGUGAAUUGUUUUGCACCUAGUUUAAGUGCCAAGUCGGUAAGGUAAGUGUAUAUUUUCUUUUUCCCACAGCUGAGUAGUGUUCUGCACAACUAUGUGCAAUGUUAGGAAUUAUUGGAAAAAGGGAUUUUUCUUUAGCAAUGAAAACAUGACCACCUUAUGAUGAUAUCCAAAAUGCAGGCAAUUGGUCGUUCUGCAUACUGGUAGGAGGACUAUAGAUUGAUCGCCCUAUUGUCUUGUGGUGUUUAUGGUCUUGGAUGUAUUUGGAGGCUUGGGCCUCACCGCUACUACCAAUGACGAUCUUAGCGCUCCUGGCAGGGAGCAAGAAGAAAUAAAACGAUAGAUCAACCAGUAAAUCUCUUAGGUGAAUACCAAAAAACACUCGUUGCUCAACGCACCUCAGAUAUAUUACUGUAGCUGUCACUUUCCCUUUCUUUUGUGUCCUGUGUUAUCCAUUGGAUCUCAAGAUAUUAUUGUGUGUGUAUUCAUAGAUGUGUAUUCGUGCGUAGGUUUGUUUGUAUGCGUAGCUGUAAAGUGAAUGAACGAGACUCAAAAAAUGUGUGGAGAAGGACAAUGUAUGAUAAGUUAGCAUCAACUUUUUCAUUCAGUACGCGUUCUUCGAAGGACAAUGUAUGAUAAGUUAGCAUCAACUUUUUCAUUCAGUACGCGUUCUUCGAAAAAAUAAUUUAUAUCUGGUCGCCAUCCUUUCCUGGAGUUCAUUUGAACAGUAGAUCUGUGUCUUUAUGAUCUGAUUGAUCCCUGGAAUUCUCAGUAGCUAGCAUCACAAAAAUUAAAGAAAAGCAUAUAUGAACAAAAAGGACUUUGAGAAUGACUUACGUAUAAAAUAUGGGUUGAAGCUUUUUAUGGGCUUAAAAACUUGGAAACAAACAAAAAAAUGGAAUAUCAUGCGCCCAUUCUUGUUUAGCUCUGAUGGAUAUGACAUUCUCUAUUUAUAUUAGUAUAUUGGAUAAAAUUUGCUUCAUUGGGCCGGGAUAAAUGUUCCAUAAAAUUGCACUUAUUUAUGUAAGAGACUAUAGACUACAGAACCUCAUUACUAACUCUGACCAGAAUGUCAAAUUUAAACAAAGGUAGACUAAUAAAUCUGUAUGUACUCGUUAAUUAUUACUACUAGACUAUAAGGAAGGGUGAGACAAGGAAAAUGACAACAUCAUUAAUGGCUGCACAAAUGAUUGGUAUGAGUAUUUGUUAAGCAUGCAUUGAUCUCUUAUGUGAGUGAGUCAUUAAGCAUGAAUGUCAGAGUAAGAACUCUGUCUUGCUUGAAUUAAAAAAAGGAAAUGACUGAAAAAUUUGAAUAGGGAAUGUAAUCAAGUCAAAGCUCUUUAUAAUGAUGUUGUUCGUUGGCAUUUUUUACAUUGAAUAAGUAAAAUUUUGCUAUAGAUAAUGGUUUCAAAAAAAAGAAUUGGCUGUUACCGCAAAAUAUUGGCGUACUUUUGUUUUUUUCUCAGGAAGAGAGCUUUGUUUUUUUGGAACAAUUCAACGUUUGACACGUGCAAGCUUGCAGAAUACGGAUACUUGUUUUUAAUUAACAAAUAACUCAUGUAUAACAGCUUUUUUUUACAAUGCCAAAAAAACAAGAAAACCUGUGAGUGAUUUCUUCCAAUUCACACAAAGUAACAUCGAGUCAGUAGACAACUAGAAAACUGAGGCAUUAGUUAAUUCUAUUUCUUUUUUCAUUUCACAACUUAACAGUUGCGUACAAAAAUAAGGAAAAUAUAAUGUGAUAGUAAUAUCUAUUUUAGCUAUGUAAAUCUGAGAGCAGUGGGUGAGAGGAGGGGUUAUUUUAAAUUCAUAGAAGUACACAGCUCUGGAAUCUGGUUGAAGUCAGAAUGGUGGCAUCCAGAAUCCACAUUAAUAUUCCAGUAAAUGUAAAAAAUAUGGCCAUAUCAGCUUUUCAGUAGUAGCAGUAAACAGUUUUAACCAAAUCUUUCACCUGCCUACUCUUAGUUCUACUGCCUGAUUUGUUAACAGGGUAAGGUCAAUUAUUACAUAUGCUCUUUUAGUAACCUCUACGGACUUUCACAUUUACUUUUACUGUCAUUUUGUACCUCUUUUCUUACACGCUCAAGAGAUUCGCUCCUAUUCUUUCUUUUCUUUUCUCUUAUAAACUUUAGAUAAUCGUAGGAAGGUUCAUAUUGCUCCUAGUGAGAUGCAUUACUAAUGCUUACUAAAUUUAUUUAACUGGUACCACUAAUAGCUGAUUAACAUUAGACCUACCUUAAAUGGGAAUAUCCCCACAGAACUUUUUAACCCAAAUGGUGUCUUAAAUUUGAGGUUCGUUCAAUUUUAAGUCUCGAUUAUAUUAUCUUGAGCAUAUAUGGUCUUUAAUAAGUUCAAAAAAUCUAAGCACUUCUUAUAAUGGACUACGAAAAAUGUCACGUGCUUUCACAUGAAUAGAGGAAAUUUUAAUAGUUUAGUUAGUUGACUACCUGAAUUUUUACUUUAUUGGUGAUAGUUUGAUUUCCACCUUGUAAAGAAAAGUUUGAACAGAGCAAAGCUAUCCGGUAGAGCUCUUCUCCGCUGUCAUUUUUCCUCCAAUUUUAGUACUACUAAACACAAAAACGCAAAAGUCUAGACAAGAGAAACACUACAAAAACUUGAGGAAGAAAAAAAAAUUAAGGUGGACAAGAAGUCGUUGAUCAUGAUUGUUAUUUUACUUGGACAUGCAAAAAAACACAAUGGACUUACGUUAGGUCUGUUAACUUGAAGGAUCGUACGCACUUAAGGUACUAAUAAAAUAGGGACAAAAAUAGACUUACCCCCAAAUUUAAGGGAUUAUUUGGGAAUAAAGCUAACAAGAAAGUAGCAAUGAUUCAUGUACAUUACAAGGGGACUGUACUAAGAUUUGUAUCUCAAGGGUUGAAGAUAAGAUUUCCACAUUUGCAUUUCCAGCUCAUAGGCUUGUAGUUUGAGUUGUCACUGUCCCUGGCAUAGGCAAUAUUGCUGCUGGAUACUACUUUGUUGUUGUUGAUGGUGUGAUUGUUGUUUCCAUUUGUGAUUGUGGGGUUUGUUGGAACCUGAAUGGCUUCACAGUGUCCGCAAGAACCACAUCUUUUGUCACACCUAGGUGGCCUCGACCCAAUUUGUGAUCUCAUGAACAUUGCUCUCUUUUCACUCUCUAUCUACAUGCAAGUUACAACCCAAGAAAAUUACUACAAACAUUAUUCUAAUCAGGAAAAAAGAUUUAGCAAAAGAAACGUAAAGAGUUUCCAAAUUAUACCUGGUCAUGCCCGUGACGUUGAGUAUCAAGCAAUUUUCUUCCUGCAAAAUGAAGAAGAAUUGGAGUAGAUGAGUUAAAUUUCAGCUUCUAAAGUUGCCUGUGCUAGAAAGCAGAGGGCUCUGUUUUGUAAACAGAGAGGGGCUAAUAAAUAUACCUUCAGCUUGGAACGUUGACAUGAGAAUGAGAAGUGAAAUUGUAAGACAGGCUAGUGUUUGGUGACAUGUGAAAUUCUGAUUCCAGCCCAUUUCAAAUACCAAAAGGAAUGAUUGACUUGAAAGUGAAUUUACCUCCUUUUUGUUGUGUGUAUAUAUAUAGGAGUAGUUGAGUUUGGUUGGAGGAAAGCCUAGCAAAUGAAGAAAGAAAGGGAAAGGUGUGAGUGAUGUAGAUGUGAGCAAAAAGUGGGUAAGAGUUUAAAAGCAAUGGAUGAAAAUGAUGAGUGAUUGAAUGAGUACUUAAUCAGAAGUCGCCUUCGUUGGAAGUGUAAUAGAACAAAGUGAAAGACAGAAGAGGAUGAGUAUUGCACAAGGCUGAAGGCUUCAAUGUAAGUGAAAAGGGAAGAACCUAAACAACUCCCCUCGUGCCAUGAGCCACCCUUCUCUGUUUCAGACAACUAAAAUACGCACUCAUAUACGGUUGAAAAACCAGCAUACAAACAAACAAGACACUCUUAUAAUACACCAUGUAAACCAUUUUUUUAUGUCUAUCAGGUCAUCCAAAUAAUAUCUACUAUACAAGAUCGUUUGAUACGUAGACUAAAUUAUCUCGAAAUUAUAGUUUCCCCUAAACUAACUUAUACUAUAUGGAAGGUGGUAUAAAAUACUCUUAUAUUGGAUGGGAUAAGAUGGGAUAUCUCAAGACUAGAAGUUUAGUAUUAGAUUUAUACCAUCAACAAAAUAUGAUGUAUGUCUAAUACCAAACUUAAGCAUGAGAUAUCUCACCUUAUAUCGGGUACUAAAUGAUGUUUUUUUAGAAAAAAAAAAAAGAAAGAAAAGAAAAACAGAAGGUUUGAAAGUGAAAUAUUGUACCUGCUCCAUUCAAUAAAUAAAGAUAGCUUGGUGGUAUCAAAAUUAAAAUAUAUACUAGGGGAUCGUUUGUUUGGUGGAUUAAGGAUAGUAAUUUCAGGAGUAUUUAGUCCCAUCAUUUUAGUAUAAAUGGAGGAAUAAUUUCAGGAGUAUUUAGUCCCAUCAUUUUAGUAUAAAUGGAGGAAUAAUUUCAGGAGUAUUUAGUCCCAUCAUUUUAGUAUAAAUGGAGGAAUAAUUUCAGGAGUAUUUAGUCCCAUCAUUUUAGUAUAAAUGGAGGAAUAAGUUAUCCCGUACGAAGAUGGAAUAAAAUAAUCUCAUGAAAUAUCUUUAUUUGUUCCACCCAGUGGCGGAGCCACAUUGAAUUCAGAGGGUUUGUCUGAACCCCCUUCUGUCUGAACCCCCUUCAUCGGAAAAUUAUAUUAUUUUUACAUGGUCAAAAAUAUUUUUAUGUAUAUAUAGUAUACGUUGAACCCCCUUCGACUAAUCCAUAUAUUUACUUCUGAACCUUCUCAAUAAAAAUUCUGACUCCGCCACUGAUUCCACUCCAUCAAACAAACGACCCUUGACAAUGUAUAUUACUUCAACUCUAAAAGAAAAGAUAUUUGGGAUGUUUGGAUAAGAAAGUAAGUUACACAUGGAUUAAUAAAGGAGAAAUUCUUUGUAUUGAACAAUUGAUUGAAGAUUGCUUGUAUUAAAAAUUGGAUAAACAUUAACUUAAACUUAUGUUUGAAAAGGAUUUUUAAUGAAAUCACUUGGGAUACGUUAUUCAUGUAUAAUUCAUCUUGACAUUGUUAUUCCAUAUUGCUCUAGAUAUAAAAUAAUACGCGGACUGAUGUAAAAGUUCCACCCAUAUUAGAUAUCUUGAAGUUAAUUAGCACUAACUGUUUAAACUAAUCAAGCAUGAGUUACAGAGUUAGUAAGAUAAACAAGAUAGUAAGAAUAUGUUAGUAUUUAUAGGACAAUAUUUGACUCACAUAAAAAUUUCGAAACGAAAAAAUAAACAUCGAAAGAUACUAAAUAUGUCACGAUCCGAAUCGAGGCCCUGGCCGUGACGAGCAUUCCGAACCAUGAAGGUCCGGACGCCCUUCUCUAUCUGGUAGUCAUGCACAAUAUUCAUAUAAAUAAAGAAGAUGAGGAAAUACAACUUAAUACGGAAUCAUGGUCAUACUCUGAACUCAAUUUAACAAUAAAGAAUUAAAAUCUAACAACUCUAGACAACUUCUAAACCAGUUUGCGAAAUCUCUAUAACAUGCUAGAAUGAUCACUGUCUGAAUCUAGGACAAGGUCCCCAGUGGACCCAAAUCAAAAUAAAUAACAUAGUCUGAAAUAAACAGGCCUUCUGGAAUAGAGAAGGCUCACCACUGCACAGUUUCUUCUCUCUGAAAUCUCUACUGCUUAGCUGGACCUCUAGAUUGAGCCUCAGACCCUGAAAGGUAGGAGGUCAAUACAGUUGUACUGGUACGCAAAGAAAAUUCAAAAUAAUAAUUUUUAUUCAAUAUAUAUGAGAGCAAUUUAAAACAAUUCAAAAACAUAUCAUAUGGUAAGAAUCACAUGGGCAUAUUUAAAAGACUCCAUAAAAUCAUCUCAACUCUAUGACACAUCUUUAUUUUACUUCUGCGCUAGGUGGUGUACCCUACAACUCUGAAAUUCCACGGGCUAUAUGGAAUCUGCCAUUAACUCGGCAGCCAAGCCACCAAUCCAAGUUUGCCGCAAGGGUCGGAGUCUUUGUCUCUAUUACGCCACAGAGUCGUCGCCAGCAUACAAUAAUAAUAUGCCCGUAUCGACAAAACACGGUUUUAGGCAAUGAGUCGAUUGACUCGUUCCUUCUUCGGGUAACCAUCUAACCCGCUUUAAGCCCAUUUUUAACUCUUUAAAACAUAUAUUCUCUGAAAUCAAACUCUGAAAACUCUAGCUCUGUUAUGGCAUACGUUUAUAUGGUAUCGUCAUAUCAUUGACUUGUAAGUCGCAUCUCUGAGCCAUUAAUAGCUUAUUAUAAUUCUCUUCUUUCAAAACAUAAGGUUUUGGACCACCAUAUCAAUAAAUCAUUUCAAAGAACUCUUUCUUAAAACUCAGGUAAACACAUGCAAGAAACUCUUUUUUUCAACAUUUCAAAUACACAAAGUGGUCAUGUCAAAGUUCUCAAUCACAUGCAAUCCUUUCUCUUUUAAACAAGGAUAUAGUUAUAUCAAGAAACUCUCUCUCAUCAUCUCUAAAUCAUGUUCAAAUACUAUGAUAUUAAGAAAACCACUUUCAAACCAUAAAACAUGUAUUUCAAAUCAUUCCUGACAAGAUCAUAAACUUCAAUUCAUCACAAGAGAAGGACUUCAUAAUUAUGCUCUCAAUCAAUCUUAAAAACUCAAUUUCAUACAUAUACAUAUGAGUAUAAAUCAAUUUAAGGGGAAAAGCCUAAAGGCCAAAUAAAUAAUAACAUUGAAACAUUCAGAAUGCAUAAUUUAAAACAUAGAUUUCAAAACCACUUUAUAAAUUCAUGCUUGAUAAACCUUAAAUCAUAUUCAAGUGUUUCCAUAAGCCCAUGUAAUUUUAGGAUAAACCCCACAUACCUUAGAUUAUGAAUUUUGGAUGAACGUUUACUUUUGGGAUUCUACUUGUGUUUCUAAUGGAUGAUUCUUGAAGCCCUCAGAUUGGAAAUUCCAAUUCAUGAAUCAAUUUCGAGAAUUGACGAUCAAAUCUUGAGUUCCCUUGGAUUUUUGGGUUGAAAUUCUAAGGAGUGUUCUUGAUGAAUUUUGAGGAAAAUAUCAAUAAAGUGGUGAUUUGGGAGUAUAAUCCCGUGUUAAGGAUAAAAAAGGGGUGGGAGGAAAUGACUAAAUUGCCCCUUUGGAAGCGGAUUUUAAAAAUUGAAACAACUGGGCAUCAACGCGAUAGGCGACACGGCGCGUCGAUGCCAUCGACGCAAUACCUGACGCGCCGCGCCCUAAUCGCGCCAAGCCUCAGUACUUUUGCCUGGUAGUUUCUGCACAAAAUUGACCAAUGCGAUGGGCGACGCGGCGCGCCAAGAUCGCGUUGGUCCACUAUUUUAGGACACCAAACAAGGUAUAAGCGCAGCUCAAAAAAUUCAAAACUUGUUCGAGAUGUACUAUCGACUUACCCCAUCGUGGAACAACUUAAAAAUUAACUAUUGGAGGUCGGGAAGGUCGUAAAAUAACUCCUCAAAGAUUUGGAGCUCAAAAUGAGACUAAGUCCUUUUGAUACUUAGAAAAAUUUUCAAGUUUUCAACUCUAUAAUCAUGCUACUAGGAGAUAACACAUGUAGGACUUUUGCGGGGUAUUACAUUAUCUCCCCUUGGGAUAAUUCAUCCCCGAAUGAUGACGUGGAACACAGACAAGCACGAUUUCAAGUAUACUAAAGGCAUAAAAAGAAUAAGGCAAAGAUUGUACCUUCCGUUUCGUCACCCACCGGAUAAAAAAGGUUUGGGUAUGUUGCCCACAUAUCAUCUUCUGAUUCCCAAGUAGCUUCUUCAAAUUUCUGAUUUUUUCACAACACCUUAAGCGAAACUAUUUUCUUGCUCCCUAGCUUCCGGACUUGACGUUCUAGAAUAGCAACGGGUUCCUCCUUGUAAACCAAUGAGUCUUUCACAUUGAUCUCCUCUACAGGCAACACUAAAGAAUGAUAUCCAAUAAUGAUCUCCAAUACACUUCUUCAACAUGGAUAUGUGAAAUACGGGAUGGAUAGAAGCUAGACUUGUGGGCAAUUCUAACUCAUAAGCAACCCCACCUAUCCUUCUCAAAAUCUGAUAUGGCCCUAUAUAUUGAGGACUAAACUUUCCUUUUUUCCCAAAUCGUAUAACUCCCUUCAUAGGAGAGACUUUGAGAAAUACCCAAUCACCAACCUCAAAUUCUAACUCCCUUCUUCUAACAUCGACAUAGAAUUUUUGUUGACUCUGAGCUAUUUUAAGUCGUUCUCUAAUGAUUUUCACUUUCUCCAUUGCCUGAUGAAUACAGGCCCAAACAAUUGCGUUUCACCCACUUCAUAUGUAAUGCCCUGAAUCUGGUACCUAGAGCGCUACACGAUGCUCAUGACCCCAAAGGACCACAAGCUAACCCAUGACUGAUAUUUGUACCUGUAUACUGCAUGAUAUACCAUAUAAAUGUGGAAAUAUGAACUGAAAGUCCAUAAGGUUCAAAUCUGUAACAUAACUGAUAAAUCAUAACAUAUGUAUGGGGUAUGAAAUACCCAAAACACUUAAAUAACUGUCUGAAAACACUAGUCUGAGAAGUCUCUAACUGACUAAACUGUCUAAAUAAGGAGUUGAUGGGACAUGUCCCCAACUAACUCCAACUAAUAAAUUAAUUAAUGAGAUACUAAAGAAAUAAUCAUGUCCUCGAAGGAUGAGGACUCACUACUAACUUACUGCUGAUAUUUAGAAUCUACUGAUGCUAUGGAGCUCGUACUUCGGAACCUAUGGUAUAAAACACCAUAGCGCAAAUGCGUCAGUACUUUGAAUGUAUUGGUAUGCAUGUGAGGUAGGCUAAAUGCAUGGGGUUCAUAUGCAUGAACAAUACUGGCUAACUGACUAAUAUGAAUGUGAGAAUACAUGCUUGAACACAUAGUAACUAUAUCUGAGAUCGUGAUAACAUGAGUUUACUGAUAACUAACAUGAUUGAUAACUGAGUUCUGAUGACUGAUAUAACUGAUAACAUGAGUGACUGUAUCUGACAGUCCUAAAUCUGAUAGAACUAGCUGAGUUUCAUACUGUUCUGAGUUGGUUGUAUCUGACAGUCCUGAAUUCUGUAACUGAAAUUGUGGGAAGUAGUUAUCUAACCGACAUACCCCUAAUACGCUAUUAUGGCUGAGUUGGGGUCCAAUCUAUAACCUCAAUUGAAAGAGUAUCAAUACCGUGCCACUGGUAAGGACAAGCUGUGAGUGACUCUCAUCUGAUAGUGUCCCCAAAAGAGAACGGUGGGGACCUCAUCUGAUAGUGCUUAUUUGCCUCAUCAACCCUCAUCUGACAGUGUUGAUGUCUCAACCUAUGUUGGCUACAUAGUUCUGGAAUGCAAGGAUGACUUCUAAGAAUCACACCCUCAUCUGAUAGUGUGUGUUCCCAUCUGUGGAUUCACUCGGUGCUAAUUCCUACUCCUAUUUGAAUAGACACUGAACAUGAAUUACUGAACUGAAUUAACUGAAUUUUAUUGACUGACAGAAUAGUACUGAGAUUACUGAAUUACUGAGAUUUCCUGAGUCACAUGAUUGACUGAGUUCUAUAGAUCAUGGCUUGACUGAGGAUAUCGUGAAACAUAUCACUGACUCUAGGCACACAACCAUAUUUUUCUGGUACAAGUACCCCCAAGACUCGAUGGAAGGAAACUGACAAGGCAUGAUAUUCUUGAAUGCAUGACCAAUCAUCAACAAUCCAUAAUACAAUAAUUGGAGAUAUUUCAUGGGCAUUUGAUUAUCAUAGCUUGGUACAUGAAUAAGAUAGCAUGUAUACAUAGCAUAAUUUCAUAAAAACAAAUUUCAAUACAUAAGAAUAACAUAGAAGUCAUUUUGGAUCACAAUUUAGCUAUAGUGCAUAAUUUUUAUCUUCCUAGGCAUUUCAUCAAACACCUUGCAUGCACCCAUAGGGCAUAGGCUGAAUCAUCAAAUUGAUACAUUAUGAAUAACUCAAUUUAUGGAUUUCACUCUCUUGCUAAUGUAGUUUCAUGAAAAACACAUAAAUAUUCAACCUUGGGAAUUAUAUAACAAGAUUAACAUGGUUACAAUCAACCCACAACAUAAAUAUUAUGAUUUGUAAUUUAAAAUAGGGUUUUUGAGCUUUAUGGAUAAAAGGAAUCCAUAAAUCAACACAACACAUACCUUAGUUCUUGGUUUAGCGAAGAUUGACGGAGAGACUUUCUUGAAAUUGAAUCCCCAAUUGAAACCCUAGCUUGUUCUUGAGAUAAAAUUGAGAGAAACUAGUUUAUUUUGGGUUCCAAAUAGUUGAAUCUCGUGUUAAAGGGCUUAAAUAGGGGUAGAAAAUUGACCCUUUUAACCCUGAACACGUCUUUUAAAUUGGUGAAAAUUUCUCGAAUUGGACCCCUGGCGCGACACGGUGCUAUCGCGCUAUGUCACUGGAAUUUGACAAUUGGGAAAUAGGGGAAUAGCGUGAUGCGGAGCCAUCACAUUGUCACUUCAUUUGAGAUCUGAAAGUAUGGCGCGACGUGCCACUAUCACGGACCCCUACUGGAAUUUGACAAAUUCCAUUUUCUCUUGUGGCGCGGGGCGCCACUGACUAAUAUGAUACUGUUUUACGAUGGGAACUUGAAAUAGUUAUAACUUCUUACCCAGUUAUCGGAUUUAGGCAAAUUUUAUAUCGAUGAAAAGCUUAUUGAAUUUCCCACAUGAACCGUGGCCUCAGACCCUAGAAGGUAGGGGGUCAAUACAGUUGUACCGGUACGCAAAGCAAAUCCAAAAUAAUAAUUUUUAUUCAACAUAUAUAAGAGUAAUUUAAAAUAAUUCAUAAAUAUAUCAUAUGGUAAGAAUCACAUGGGCAUAUUUAAAAGACUCCAUAAAAUCAUCUGAACUCUAUGACACAUCUUUAUUUUACUUCUGUGCUAGGUUGUGUACCCUACAACUCUAAAAUUCCACGGGCUAUAUGGAAUCUAUCAUUAACUCGGCAGCCAAGCCACCAACCCGAGUUUGCCGCAAGGGUCGGAGUCUCUAUCUGUACUAUGCCACACGGUCGUCGCCACGUACAAUAAUAAUAUGCCCGUAUCGGCAAAACACGGUUUUAGGCAAUGAGUCGAUUGACUCGUGCCUUCUUCGGGUAACCACCUAACCCUCUUUAAGCCCAUUUUUAACUCUUUAAAACAUGUAUUCUCUGAAAUCUAACUCUGAAAACUCUAGCUCUAUUAUGGCAUACAUUUAUAUGGUAUCGUCAUAUCAUUGACUUGCAAGUCGCAUCUCUAAGCCAUUAGUAGCUUAUUAUAAUUCUCUUCUUUCAAAACAUAAGGUUUUGGACCACCAUAUCAAUAAAUCAUUUCAAAGAACCCUUUCUUAAAACUCAUGUAAACACAUGCAAGAAACUCUCUUUUUCAACAUUUCAAAUACACAAAGUGGUCAUGUCAAAGUUCUCAAUCACAUGCAAUCCUUUCUCUUUUAAACAAGGAUAUAGUUAUAUCAAGAAACUCUCUCUCAUCAUCUAUAAAUCAUGUUCAAAUACUAUGAUAUUAAGAAAACCACUUUCAAACCAUAAAAUAUGUAUUUCAAAUCGUUCCUGACAAGAUCAUAAACUUCAAUUCAUCACAGGUGAGGGACUUUAUAAUUAUGCUCUCAAUCAAUCUUAAAAACUCAAUUUCAUACAUAUACAUAUGAGUAUAAAUCAAUUUAUGGGGAAAGGCCUAAAGGUCAAAUCAAUAAUAGCAUUGAAACAUUCAGAAUGCAUAAUUUAAAACAUAGAUUCCAAAACCCCUUUAUAAAUUCAUGCUUGAUAAACCUUAAAUCAUAGUCAAGUGUUUCCAUAAGCCCAUGUAGUUUUAGGUUAAACCCCACAUACCUUAGGUUAUGAAUUUUGGAUGAACGUUUGCUUUUGGGAUUCUACUUGUGUUUCUAAUGGAUGAUUCUUGAAGCCCUCGGAUUGGGAAUUCCAAUUCAUGAAUCAAUUUCGAGAAUUGAUGGUCAAAUCUUGAGUUCCCUUGAAUUUUUGGGUUGAAAUUCUAAGGAGUGUUCUUGAUGAAUUUUGAGGAAAAUAUCAAUAAAGUGGUGAUUUGGGAGUAUAAUCCCAUGUUAAGGAUAAAAAAGGGAUGGGCGAAAAUAACUAAAUUGCCCACUUGGAUGCGGAUUUUAAAAACUGAAACAACUGGGCAUCGACACGAUCAGAGACACAGCAUUGACAUCGACGCGAUACUUGAUGCGUCGCGCCUUAAUCGCGCCAAGACUCAGUACUUUUGUCUGGCAAUUUCUGUACAAAAUUGACCAACGCGAUGGGCGACGCGACGCGCGAAGAUAGCGGUGGUCUACUGUUUUGGGACACCAAACAAGGUCUAAGCGCGGCCCAAAAAAUUCAAAACUUGUCAUAGAUGUACUAUCAACUUACCCCAUCGUGGAACAACUUAAAAAUUAACUAUCAGAGGUCGGAAAGGUCGUAAAAUAACUCCUCAAAGAUUUGGAGCUCAAAAUGAGACUAAGUCUUUUUGACACUUAGAAAAUUUUUCAAGUUUUCAACUCUAUAAUCAUGCUACUAGGUGAUAACACAUGGAGGACUUUUACGGGAUGUUACAAAAUAUAUUCCUAAAUUUUAUGACUAACUAUGUAAUGACAUUUUUAUGACUAAAAGAACACACCACUAAAUAUAAAAUGAGAAGUUAACUUGAAAAGUUUUGGAAAAUAUUAUGAAACAGAGAAAAAAUAAUUAUUUUCUCAGUCCCAAUUUAUAUUACUCAUUUUUUUGAAUUCGUUUCAAAAAUAACAACACAUUUUUAUAUUUACUAACAAUUAAACUUUUAAAUGUUCAUUUUAUUCUUAAAAAAAUAAGGCUCAAAAAUUUUAAUAGGGGACGUUUUCUCUCAGCGCAUGUUAGCCUAACGUGCUCACCAUGGAGAAGAGAACACAUUUCCCUACUCUGAAAGCCAUAGAAGCUCAGGCGAGUAUCCAGCAGAUGACGAUGCAAUCCUGAAAGAGAGGAAACCUAGGAAAGUAAGGUGAAACAAUGGUAAAACCAGGAAAAUGUGAGCAAUUAGGAAUUUUCAGUGUGGAGGAAAGUAAGUCAACAUCGUUGAGGGGUAAGGGAGUGGAGGCAGUUACAGUUGAAGAUUUACCAUCGCAAAUGAAAAUAGAUGUUGUGAUUACGGAAAAUUUGAUUGGAACAAUAGAUGCAAUAGGUGCUACGAAGAACCCUGUGGAAUAGAAAUCUCUUGAGAUACAGGAGUGGGAUCAACUUACUUGUGUAUCAACAGAGUCAAGCAAAAGGUCAUGGGCAGAUAAAGUUGAGGAAGAAUCUAAGGCGGAGAAUGGUAGGAAACCUCCGAUUUGGGAUAAUUUUGUCCAAUCCCGAGUGUAGACACGUGAUUUUUGAUCCUCCCUAAAUUUUAACUUGUUUAUCGAUAUUAAAAAUUUAUAUUUAUAUUUAUUCAUAUAUUAUUUUGAUUAUUAUUUUUAUUUUUAGUAAAUUUUAGUAAAAAAAAUGAAAAAAAUUUCUUUUAUAAAUUUUUAAUAAAUAAAUUAAUAGUUUUAAUAUUUAUUUUAUUAUAUUUAUAUUUGUCUAUUUAUAAAUUGUUAUUAUAUUUUGUUAAAUAUAAAAUUAAUUAAUUAUUAUUAUUUUAUUUAUUUUUACUUUUAUUUUAUUUAUUUAUUUAUUAUUAUUAUUAUUAUUAUUAUCUUUAUUUAUUAUUAUUACUAUUAUUUUCUAUAUAUAAAAAUAAAAUAUAUAUAUAUAUAAAAAAUAAUAAAAAAUUGAAUUUUAAAUACCCUUUUUUCCUUAUCCGUUGAUGAGGGAUUCCCUCCUAAAGAAUAACUGUUCCCUCCCUUAAAUCCUUUAUUUUAGGAUUCUCUCUACGUACACUAUCAGUGAUCCAAUACUAAAAAAUUAAAGUGUUGAAAAUGACAGUAAUUUUUUUUUUUUUUAAAGGGUGAAGUUGAAUUUGGAUUCGUGUUCAAGAUUCCAGUGACGGUUAUUUCUUGUUUCAUUAUUUCGUUUGAGUCAAUCACAGGUUUAUUUUUUAUAUCCUGUACCACUCAUAGUAUGAAUUUAUUUUAUAAAUGCAUGAAUAAAAACAACGUUAAGUUGCUUUAUGCAUUAUUUAGUAAGCAUAGUUAAUUGAUUAUAUGGGUUUAUUAUCAUUGUAUGCUAUUUGAUUAAGUUAUAACAUAUUUAUUUAUGUUUUGAGUAAAAAAAACUGUGUUUUGUUAAUUUUGUUAAAGUAAAUUUGAAACGAAAAAGAGAAAUACAUGAAAGAAAUUAACACUGUUUGAUGUACAACAAUACACAUAGCGUUUCGAAAAUUGCAAUGAAAUCCGGAUAAAUAAAAAAAAAUCCAUAAAAUCAGAUGAUUUAGAGAGCAAAAUUUGAGAGAAAUCAUAUGGUAGAAAAUUGAUUGGAAAAUAUUUUUAUUUCUUAAAGUUCUCCGGCAAAUUCAUAUCGAAAACUCGCCGGAAAAAUGCUAUAUCGGAAACUCGCCGGAAAAAUGCUAAACCAGUAAAAAAAUUAGCAAAUCAACCACCAAAACUCCUUCCCAUCGUGGCAUUAACUCCACUUGCCGCCACUGGAUCUGCCACCUCCAUCCGGACGAGCCUCUACUAUCCACCGCCACCUUUCUUCCCCUUUUUCGGUGAUACCAGCCAGCUCCCGCUGGCACCGGAAAACCCAUCCAUCGCUGACCUCUUUUUCCCCUCCUUUGCACUGCUCUGUUCCCCUCUCUCCUUUCCCACAGCGCCACUACUGCUUCUUCUUCUUCUCCAAAACCUGUCAGAAUUUGUUGGCAUCAGUAAUGGUGAAUAGCAGUGAUUUUUGAGAAAGAGAGAGAAGAAGGAAAAUAGGGUCUGCUAGUUGUAUUAUGCGUGUAUUUUGACAGAUAUGUGCGUAGUUUAUUUUACAAACUAAGGAAUCUAAGAUUAGUAUAAUAUGUAGCAUUUUGUAAUUUUUUUUUAUUAUUAUUAUUUUAUUUUAUUUGUUGUUAUUAAUAAAGUUUUAUUAUUUUAUUAUUAAAUUAAUUAAUUAAUAUUAUUUUUUUUAAAUGAAAAAUUGUUCUAAAUCACUAUUAAUGUUAGGUAGAAUUUUGAAUAUACACACCUUCAAUACUAGAUAAAUUUUAGACAUGUUUAAAAUAUUCGUUUUAAUUAAGAAUGCGGCGCAUCUUUCUGAGACAUUUUAAAAUUCAUGGAUGCAAUAAUGCACCUUGAUAAAUAUUUUUCCUACAAAAUUAAUUUACUAUGAGUUGAUAUGAGAAGUAUAGACAAGUUUUAGUAUAAUUAAAAAUGAGCGAUUUUAAGCCUUAAUAUAAUUUAUUAAAAUAAUUUAAGUCAAGAUAAGUUGAGAAAGUGACCUUCUAGAACCACGGGACUCGAGGGGUGCCUCCCACCUUUUCUUCGGUCAACAAAAUUCCUUAUCCAGUCUUCUAUUUUCGCAAACCAUUAAAGAGUCAUUUCCUUUUGACUAGGGAUUCAAAAGGUGACUUGGAACACCAUAACUCAAUUUCAAGUGGAGACUCUGUAAAUAAAUUAAUCCCUAUUCAAUAUCGUCACUUUAAUUGGAAAAACCCUUCGACUCGAUCCCCUCAGGCGAAAAAAAGGGUGUGACAUCUCUGGCGACUCUGCUGGGGAUUUAAAUAGAAUUCGAGCUUUUUAUAUUGACUUAUAGUUGCUUUAAUUAUUGUUGAUAUUGUGUUUAUUGGCCCUAUGUGCUACUUGUCGCUCAUUUACCGCUUUGAUACUGAUUGAACUAUAUUAUAUACUGUCUCAUCUUGUGCACCCCUUCUGAGUCUCUGAAAUAGGAUAUAAGAAAUGCAGCACAUGCAUCCUACUUUCUUUUAGAGAUGGCCAGAGUGUCAAGGCACCUGGUGAAGUAUAUAGUCACACAUGUUAGGCAGGGUUAUCGACAACAAACCCGGUGUUGCCCUGCUACCGACCAAGUUAUCCCUCCCUGGCUCGAGUGUCCGCUCGGGUAAGCCAGUCUAGACACCUAUCUCUAUUAGGUUUAAACUUAGAAGAACUGAAAACUCAGAAUUUGGUUAUCCCUAUUAGGUGCCGCUUUAUUUGCAUCAUAUGCAUUUGACUUAGCGGGACUCGGCACAGGGUCGGUUCUGUCUAGGACACGUAACUUACUUUAUAAAGACCAACAUAUGCAUCCUACGUGCUCUUUGACAUUUUUUUGAAGACUAUUUGUGUGUUGACCGGCUUUUAGGCAACAUUAAAAUGCAAGAGAUUAAACUAUCGUCACAUUUAGUAAAUCAUUUUUGAAAGAAAAAAAUUAUUUUUAAAAGAGAAAAUUUUUAGUUACUUAGUUUUAUGGUUUUUAUGAACUACGAGUGUCUAAUUCUCAUUUUUUAGUGGGAUACGUAGGAUGUCCUAUCCGAGAUAAGAUCCUGGUUUUGAAAAAAUAAUAAUAAUAUAUUUAUUCACAAAUUUAUUGAGGGAUAUUUUUGAAAAAAUAUUAAGAAGAAGAAAAAAUGAUUAUUUUCAUGAAUAUUAUUAUCUUUAUUUUACUUUUUAUUUUUCAAAAUUAAUUUUAACGUAAAAAUCAUAAUAGCCUGAACCUUUAGGGGUCGUGAGGCUGAAAGUUUUAUACAACUUCAUACAUAAAACAAUCUUUCUUCUUUUCUUUAUUUCUAAAUCUUUUUAUUUUAUUUUUAUUUUAUUUUUUAAAUAUAAUUAGGAGGGUAUUGUCUCUAAACAUAUAGUUAAAAUUGUCUAGAGGUCUGUUAUUGUAAAAUUUUUGAUAGAGUCAAUUUAAAUAAGUGUUUUUCCUAAAAAUAUUAUCAUUCAUGUUUUUCUCAUUUUGAUUUUGAUAAAAUUGUUCUUUGCAACUAAGUCUCAAUAAUGGCCGCACUAGAUUUCACGAGUCACGUUAAAAAUUCUUUUCAAAAAUUGAUGAAUUAAGUCCUGCCUAAGUCUAGACAUUGAUUAAUCUCGUGUCCUUGUCAAUAGGUAUAAAAUGUCUUCUCCUGUUCGUGGAAAACGUCCAAAGAGAAAGAGGGAUCGGAGAGUACCGCUUCAGGUUGUGAAUUGUACCCCUUUGCAGUUUUGGUUGUGGUGGAACGAAAUGGAUACAUUCAAUUAUGAUGAGAUACAUAAGUACUUGGGGUUUUUUGACGAGUAUUAUGUCAAUCAAGCCUAAUAGGGAGGUGAUUGAUGCAUUACUAACCUUUUGGGAUCCGAAGAACAAUGUGUUUUGUUUUUUGAAUUUUGAGUUGACUCCUACUGUAGAGGAGAUAGCGGCGUAUGUUGGAUAUGGGGAUAUGCAUCGGAAGAAACUUAUAGCCCCAAGACUCAUUUUGAUAAACAGAUUCUGCAAGCCAUGAACAUACGAAACUCAAAAGAAGAAUAAAUGAAAAAAGGUUAGGUUUCCUUGCAAUUUUUGUAUGACAGAUAUGGAAGAUAGGAGGGGUUUGAAAAGUACGAUAAACAGCUUUAUAAUAAGGAAAGUUUUGAGGCUUGGAAAGUUCACAGAAGAUUUGCAUUCAUGGUAGUCUUUUUAGGUACUAUGGUUUUCCCGAGGAGAGAAGAAAAAAUUAAUAUUCGUUUAGCGGGGGUGGUACAGAUACUGAUUAAGAAAGAUUACACUAUGGUACCAAUGAUCCUAGCAGAUAUCUACCAUGCUUUGACCAUUUGUCAGAAAGGAAAGAGUUUUUUCGAGGGAUGUAAUAACUUGUUACAGAUGUGGAUUGUGGAGCAUCUUUACCGACGUCCUACCAUGGAAAGAUUUAAUCCUGAAAGAUUCAAUCGCAUCAAAGAUUAUGAAGAGAGGUUAGAGAAAUAUAAAUGCCCAAAAGGAGGUAGAGAUUGGGAUAAGCUUUUUCAUUCUCUGACAGCAGAUAAAAUCACUUGGAAUCUCCCUUGGUUCCCUUUGAGGCAAGUCAUACAUAGUUUUGUCAUUCGGUCGUUCUUAUUAUUAAUGGGUAUUAGGGGUGUUCAACCAUAUGUUCCAUUGAGAGUUUUACGUCAUCUAGGAAGACGUCAAACAAUUCCCAUUACGGAAAAUAUGACCGAGUCUGUAUUUGAGAUCAGACCAGAGAUCCUACUUUCGGAGGAAUUGGCCCAGCAAAUUUGGGAGGGUUGCCAUAUCAUGGGGAUUAAAACGAUGGUCAUAGAGUGUGAGAAAGGAGAAGUGCACCCAGAUUACCGUGAAUGGUUUGAAGAACAGUCAAGUCCACCAGUCAGACCAGAAAGAUCAGUUAGGGGACCUAUAGAUCAGGAAGUUGCAAUCAGGAUAGGGAUUGAGAGAGCCAUGUGAGCAUAUCAUGAGGCCAACCAAGAUUUGAGAGCAGAAUUAGAGCAUGCCAGGGCAAAAAUAGACGAACAACAAAGGAAAUUUGCUGAAGAUAAAGCUAAAUCAGCAGAUAUUGAGGUUGCACUUCAGCUAAAUCAGCAGAUAUUGAGGUUGCACUUCGGGGACAAAUCAAAAUGGCUACCACUAGAGGGUCAGACAUUGCAGAACUUGCCAAAUCUCGCCGACAGCAACUGCAAGAAGUUGAAAAGAACAUGCAAGAAGAAUUUGAUCGAGAAGGAUCUCAGUGGAUCUGUGAAAGAAGAAUAUUGCAAGAACAGUUGGAGGUUGCUUCUUCUCGUGAACAGAGUGCAAAAGAGAUGGUUGAUUUCUGAGAUCUACAGGCCCAUGAAUGGGAUCAGGCCUUCAGUUCCCUUCGAGGGAAUCGUGUAGCACAUGAUACUACCAGAAUGUGUUUGGAUUAUUAGCAGUUGGACCGUGAAGACUUUUUGGCACAAGUACCAACUUUUGCACAACAUCUCACUACUUUAUUGGAGGACAUAUACUUGAAUUUGGGAGGACAUAUUAAGCCGAAGUCUCCUUGAAUGGAUAGGUGUUUUCUUUGUCAUAGUUUUUCAUUUUCAGUUUUAAAACUUCUUGUUUAGAUGUUAUUUCUUUUAGUUUUCUGGUGUGAGUUAGUAGAUUUUAUUUUAGGAGUUGGGUUAGUUAUUUUGUCGUAUUUAUAUUAUGGAAUGUAAUGAAGUUGAAUGUUUAUUUCUAUAUAUAUUACAUAUAUUUUACUUCAUUUACUUUAUUUAUUUUCUUCAAUAAAAAAAAGAGACAAAACAAUUAUUUUAUUAAAUUCAUCCCGAACUACGCAAGAUCUGAUUCAUGUCCUGGCAUGAUACGCAGGCAACCCUCCAAAGGUUUCAAUUAUAACUUUUGAAAAAAAUAUGUCUAGAAAAGCUGGGAUGAAACACAAAGUCUUCCAUGAUAGGUUGGAAAAUGCAUAUAGAAGCAUGACAUAUAGCUUGGCAUUAUAAUGUGUUAAAAAUGUAACACUCACCCGUUUGCUACUUGGUUACACAAAGAUAAAGUAAUUGGUGGUUGUUUUGUGGUUUAAACUGGCAUCAGAUCCGUAUAACACCAGAUACAACGGUAAAAGAAAAAUGACACCUAGAGAAGGUAUAGGGUCUGACAGUGAAGAAGAGCAAAAUCAGUUGAUUUCGCAGGAAGUAGCAUCAAUAGAAGAAAUAAAGUCAUUGAAACAACAGAUGGUAGAGAUGUACCAAGCUUGGUUGAAUGGACAAGCCCUUCCUUCUUUAAUCCCUGGACUUUCGACUUUAAAUGAUCCAAAUUCUGACCCAGCUCAAACUAGUGAUCCAUUUUACCCCACCAGGAUUCAACCUAUUUGCUAAUAUGUCUGGUGUUGCUGGUACUUCUACCAUGCGCCCACCAAAUCCAUCUGUCAUAAAUAACCUGCUUUUUACUUUUAUAGCACCAGCUACUGCGGGUACUCAACCGACAGUACCAAAGAAUAUGGGGGAGCCAAGUCAUGAUCUGAUGUAUCCUCCUGAAAUGACUUUUAAAACCCAAAAUCCAUAUUAUCAUGUUUAUCAACAUGAUACUUCUAUUGUGACUGAGCAGAUUGCUAAGAAUGAGGAAUCGGAGGAGAUGGCUAGAAAAGUUAGAAGUUUGGAACAGAGUAUGAGAAAUAUGCAAGGAUUAGGCGGACCAAAAAAUGUUUCAUACAAGGAUUUGUGUAUGUUUCCUGAUGUCCAUUUGCCUAUAGGGUUCAAAAUGCCAAAGUUUGACAAAUACGAAGGACACGGCAAUCCUGUAGCUUAUUUGAAAAAGUUUUUGCAAUCAAUUAAGGGGAGUAGGAGGAAAAGAAGAAUUAUUGAUGGCUUACUUUGGAGAAAGCCUUACAGGGAUAGCUUCUGAAUGGUUCAUUGACCAAGACAUUUCCCAUUAGCACAUAUGGGAUGACAUGGCUUGGGAUUUCGUCCAAUAAUUUCAAUAUAAAAUUGAGAUAGUGCCAUAUCGUACUAAGCUUGCCAACAUGAGAAAAAAGAUAACUGAAAGUUUUCGAGAAUAUGUUAUCCAAUAGAGAGAGCAGGCUUCAAGAGUCAGACCAUCGAUAAAGGAAUCUGAAAUGAUUGAUAUCUUUUUUCAAGCACAAGAACCUGAUUAUUUUCAUCACUUACUUUUUACAAUCGGAAGCACACUUGCUGAAGUUAUUAAAGUUGGAUAAAUGGUAGAGAAUGGAAUAAAAUCAGAAAAGAUCAUCAUCUAGGCCGCUUUGAAAGAAACAACACAGGCAAUUCAAAGUGGUGCAGGAAGUUUUGGGGGAAAGAAAAGAAAAGAGGAUUAGCAACUGUCGUAACAGGUCCACGACAAAAUUGGAGAGGUGCGCAUCAACCAUACACACAAAAUCCAUUAUAUUUCAUUCCAUCACCCCAAUAUUCUAUUUACAGUGCACAACUAUAUGCUCGGUCUCCUUUUUACCCGCAAUGGCGAGCACCAACCAUCCAAAAUCAUCCACCGGUUCCGCAAGUUCAAAGAGGCCCUCCUAGGUCUAAUUUUUGACCUAGAGCAGAAUUCAAAAGGGAUAAUAUGGGAAAAGAUAAUUUCACUCCUAUUGGAAUAUCUUACACCAAUUUAUUUCAUAGGUUAAGAAAAUGAAUGUCCUAAACCCAAUUGAGAGAAGGAUUCCAAAUCCUCCUCUAAAGAAUUUGGAUUAUUCUAGAAGAUGUGAAUACUGUUCCGAUGCCUCAGGGCACCCAUUUAUUUCAUAGGUUGAGAAAUAUUGGUAUUUGAAAAGAGUCAUUCAAGAGCUGAUUGACACCCAAUAGAUCAUGGUACAAAGUCCAGACUCUUCAAAUGUCAAUCAAAAUCCGCUGCCAGAUCAUAAUAAAACAAACAUACUCGAAGUGAUACCCAGUGGUGAAGAUGCUGCAAUAUCCUUUAUGCCGAUCAUUAAGAUUAAAAAUGGUUCGAAAAAAUUAGCAAAUGUUGUAGAUUUGACAAAAGAAAAACCUGCAGAAGCGGAGGUGGUGAUAACAAAACCCGAAUCAUUGAAUGUUCCCUUAGUGGUGGGGAAAGAGAUCUCAGAAAAUGUUGGGUUAAGUCAAGUAAAUCCGAAACUCAUUGUUCCUGGAACAUCCUCAAAGCCUCUCUUAAUCAUAAAAGGAGCUCCCGUAGCUCCCAUUGUUAUUAAACCAGUCUCACAGUUGCCUAUGGUAAAUACUAAGGCAAUUCCUUGGAAUUAUGAUCGCGUUGUGGUGAUACACAAGGGGAAAGAAGUGAUUGAAGAUGUUGAUAAAGUAGGAGCUAGGAUUAACUCGAUCUGGAAGAUGUUAUGUCCCAGUAGAGUUAAGAAAGAAUAAACAAGUCAAUGAAGAACGAAUGACAUUCAAGAAGCCUAUUACUAAUGAAGAAGAUGAAGAAUUCUUAAAGAAAAUGAAAUUUCCAAAAUAUUCUAUUGUAGAAUAGUUGAAGAAGACACCAGCACAAAUUUAUUUAUUGUCUUUAUUAAUACAUUCAGAAGAACACCGCAAGGCUAUAAUGAAUAUUCUUAACAAAGCAUGUGUUCCCAGUGAGAAUAAAGUGAAUCAACUGGAAAAAAUUGUUGAAAGGAUCCUUGAAGCAAAUAAGAUUACUUUCUCAGACGAUGAAUUGCCUGUGGAAGGUACUGGACAUAAUAAGGGUCUCUACAUUACUGUAAAAUGUGAGCAUUCCAUCUUUACUCGAGUGUUAAUUGAUGGAGGAUCAGGCACUAACAUUUGUCCUCUGUCAACUUUACAAAAUUUGAAUGUUAAUAUAGAAAGAAUCCGACCUAACAAUGUAUGUGUCAAAGGUUUUGACGGAUCAAAAACUAAUGCCAUCAAUGAAAUAGAAUUCAUAUUGACAAUCGGUCCUGUAGAUUUUGCUUUAGAUUUUCAAGUGUUGAACAUUGAUGCUUCAUAUAAUAUGUUAUUGGGAAGGCCAUGGAUUCGUAGGGCUAAAGCAGUCGCAUCAACGUUGCAUCAAAUGGUCAAAUUCGAAUGUGACAGGCAAGAGAUAGUCGUUCAUGGUGAAGGAAACUUAUCCAUGUAUAAAGACUACUCUGUUUCCUCCAUCAAAGUAGAUACUGCAAACAGAGUAUCGAUUUAUCAAAUUUCUGAGGUAGUGGCUAUUGAGCAUAUCCUCGAGGGGAAUCUCAUCGCAAGACCACAAUUGUCCUCUGCAUUUGUUGUGGUAGUGAAUGAAAUGUUAAAGUAUGGUUUUGAACCAUAAAAAGGUUUAGGGAUGUUUUUGUAAGGCAUAAUUCAUCCAGCAAACCUCUGUGAGAACCUUGGUACUUUUGGUUUGGCAUACGAACCCACUAUUGAAGAUAUAAAGAAGGCUAAAAAGCGUAAGAAAGAGUCAUGGUCGCUUACCAAGCUGAUCCCGCCACUUUAUGAAUCCUUCAUCAAAGUCAACGUUGUUGGGUCCUCUAUGUUACCUACUGCAGAGUCAGUGAAUGAUGAUGAUACUGAGUUGAUUGGCCUUUUCCAAAAUAUGUUCAUUGAAGCUGAUAUGGUUGAAAUUGGGGAAGGUACCAGCAAUGUAGAUGUGCAUUUUAUCGAUUCUGAUGUCCAGUUUAAUAAUUGGGAGGCCACUCCUCUCCCUACUAUGAAGGAGUCUUGGUAGUUUGUUUGUUUUUUUUUCAGUCUUAGUAGUUGGUUUGUUUCUCCUUCUGUAAUUUGUAUCGUUCUAGUAUUGUAAUUCAGAUCUUUAACUUGGUAAUUUAGGUUAAAACUCUUUCUAGCUUUGUUUUUAAUAAAGUGCAGUCUUCCUUUAUUUUUAUUUUGAGUCUGAUAUUUAUUUAUUUAUUUUUAUUCAUACAGUUCUUUCUAUGUUGAUUCUAAUGAUAUGACAUGCAUGAAGAAUUGUCAACCAGAUUUAAAAACCCAAUCUAAUUAUGAAAUAAUGAAUAAUGAAGUUGAAUAUGAUGAAGGAGAAGCAUUUGAGGAUAUAAGAAAAGAUUUCAAACAAUUUGAGAACAAGUCAAACCCUAAUUUGGAGGAAACUGAAGCGAUCAAUUUAGGAGAUCAUGAAAAUAGCAGGGAGACUAAGAUAAGUGUACAUGCUCAAUCACAACAAAAGAAAGCUAUAAUUGAAGCUUUGCAUGAGUAUAAAGACAUCUUUGCGUGGUCUUAUAAUGAUAUGCCCGAUUUGAGCACCGAUUUGGUAGUUCAUAUGUUGCCAAUUGUUCCUGCCUUUCCUUCUGUCAAGCAAAAGCUAAGAAAGCUCAAAACUGAUAUGAGUGUAAAAAUCAAAGAGGAAAUCAUGAAGUAACUUAAGGAUAAAGUCAUUCGAGUGGCCCAAUAUCCUACUUGGUUGGCAAAUAUUGUCCCUGUUCCAAAGAAGGAUGGCAAAGUUCGGAUGUGUGUUGAUUAUCAGGAUUUAAAUAAAGCAAGUCCGAAAGAUAAUUUUCUACUUCCCAAUAUUCAUAUUUUGUUGGAUAAUUAUGCCAAACAUGAUCUUGCAUAUUUUAUAGAUUUUUAUGCGGGGUAUCACCAGAUCAUUAUGGAUCCAGAAGAUGCAGAAAAUACAUCAUUUAUUACUCCAUGGGGGACAUAUUGUUAUUGAGUCUUGUCUUUUGGACUAAAGAAUGCUGGGGCAACUUAUAUGAGGGCAGUGUUUCACGACAUGAUACACAAAGAGAUUGAAGUUUAUGUGGUUGAAGUUUAUAUGGACGAUGUGAUCAUUAAAUCAAAAGAGCAGUCUGACCAUGUCAAAGAUUUGAGAAAAUUCUUUGAAAGGAUUCGGAGGUAUGAUCUAAAACUUAACCCAGCGAAAUGUGCAUUUGGAGUUCCAUCGGAAAAACUCUUGGGGUUUAUAGUCAGUCAGUGCGGCAUUGAGUUAGAUCCUUCAAAAUAAAAGUUAUUCAAGAUUUACCUCCACCAAAGAAUAAAACGGAGGUGAUGAGUUUAAUUGAAAGGUUGAAUUAUAUCAGUUGAUCUAUUGCUCAGCUUACGACAACCUGCGAGCCAAUAUUCAAGUUGUUGAAGAAGAAUGCUAAAGUUGAAUGGACUGAAGAAUGUCAAGAGGCAUUUAACAGAAUUAAGAAGUACUUGUCGAAUCUGUCUAUCUUGGUUCCUCCAGUACCGGGCAUACCCUUGAUAUUGUACAUGUCUGUGUUAGACAAUUCUUUUAGCUGUGUAUUGGGUCAACAUGAUGUUACAGGAAGAAAAGAACAUGCCAUAUACUAACUUAGCAAAAAGUUUACCACUUAUGAGGCUAAGUACACUCUUCUUGAGAAAACAUGUUGUGCCUUAACUUGGGUAGCCCAAAAGCUGAAACAUUACUUGUCAUCUUAUACUACUUACCUCAUAUCUCGUAUGGAUCCUUUAAAGUACACUUUUCAGAAGCCUAUACCCACAGGAAGACUCGGGAAAUGGCAGAUAUUGCUCACAAAGUUUGAUAUUGUCUAUGUGACACGAACUGCAAUGAAAGCUCAAGCUUUAGCGAAUCAUUUAGCUUAAAAUCCUAUUGAUGAAGAGUAUGAACCAUUGAAGACUUAUUUUUCAGAUGAAGUGGUAUUGUAUGUUGAUGAGUUUGUUUCUAAUGAUAGCCAUUCAGGCUGGAAAUUGUUCUUUGAUAGAGCUGCUAAUGUAAAAGGAGUGGGGAUAGGAGCAGUUCUUAUUUUUGAAUCAGAACAAUAUUAUCCUAUAACAGCCCAACUUCGAUUCUAUUGUACCAAUAAUAUGGUAGAAUACGAAGCAUGCAUUCUGGGUUUAAGAUUAGUUAUUGACAUGGGAAUCUAAGAACUGUUAGUGUUAGGAGACUCAGAUUUGUUAAUCUAUCAAAUCCAAGGAAAUUGGGAGACUCGUGAUUCAAAGAUCCUACUAUAUCGAGGUUGUUUGUAAGAUCUAUGUCAAUGAUUAGUAUCAUUAAAAUUCAAACACAUUCCCAGAGCUCAUAAUGAGAUUGUUGAUGCUUUGGCGACCUUAUCUUCGAUGCUUGAACAUUCCAACAAAACUUAUAUUGACCCUUUGCAUGUACAGAUUCAUGAUCAACAAGCAUAUUGCAAUAUGGUUGAGGAAGAACUUGAUGGGGAGCCGUGGUUCCAUGAUAUCAAAGAAUAUAUUUAGACUGGAAAAUAUUCUAUACAUGCCGAUGGUAACCAAAAGAGAACCAUUCGACGUUUAUCUAGUGGAUUUUUCCUAAGUGGAGGAAUCUUGUAUAAGAGGACUCCUGAUUUGGGACUUCUGAGAUGUGUAGAUGCUAAUGAAGCUUCAAAAAUUAUGAAUGACGUACAUUCUGAGAUUUGUGGACCACACAUGAGUGGGUAUGUUUUGGCAAAGAAAAUACUCCGAACAGGUUAUUAUUGGCUCACCAUGGAGUGAGAUUCCAUCAAUUUCGUUCGUAAAUGUCAUAAAUGUCAAGUACACGGGGACUUCAUACAUUCCCCUCCAUCUGAGUUGCAUAUAAUGACUACUCCAUGGCAUUUUGUGGCUUGGGGAAUGGACGUAAUUGGACCAAUUGAACCAAAGGCCUCGAAUGGACAUAGGUUCAUCUUAGUAGCCAUUGAUUAUUUCACAAAGUGGGUGAAAGCAACAGCUUUUAAAUCAGUGACCAAAAAACCAGUGGUUAAUUUUGUUCACUCCAACAUCAGUUGUCGGUUUAGCAUUCCGAAGAUUAUUGUUACAGAUAAUGCUGCAAAUCUUAACAGUCAUUUGAUGCAAGAAAUGUGCCAACAAUUUAAGAUUAUGCAUCGAAAUUCAACUCCUUAUCGCCCGAAAGCGAAUGGAGCUGUAGAAGCUGCUAACAAGAACCUAAAGAAAAUACUUCGCAAGAUAGUUCAGGGUUCCCAACAAUGGCAUGAAAAGUAACCUUUACUUUGUUGGGUUAUUGUACUACAGUUCGGACUUCAAUUGGUGCAACUCCUUACUUGUUAGUGUACGAAAAUGAAGCAGUUAUACCCGUAGAGAUUGAAAUUCCAUCUCUCCGAGUAGUUGUAGAAACUGAAAUUGAUGAUGUCCAAUGGGUCAAGACUCGUUUGGAGCAAUUAAGCUUGAUUGAUGAAAAAAAAUUAACAUUAGUAUGUCAUGGAAAACUAUACUAGAAGAGAAUGGCAAGGGCAUAUAACAAAAAGGUGCGUCACAGACAUUUUGAAGUUGGUCAGUUAGUACUAAGACGCAUCCCACCCUAUCAGAUUGAAGCCAAAGGCAAAUUUUCUUCUAAUUGGCAUGGACCAUUCAUGGUGAAGAAAGUGUUACCUAAUGACGUGUUAUACCUGACUGAUGUAGAAGGAAAAAUGGAAGGAAUGUCGGUCAAUACUGAUACAAUUAAAAGAUAUUAUAUAUGAUAUUCAUGUACAAUUACAUUAUGUAUGUUUUGUACUUACAUUUUAAAAGAUUGAAAUGAUGAAGACAUUUUUUUCUACUAUCCGAAUAAUAUAUCAACCUCUGCCUACCCCUUUUGAGCUUUUAUCUUUUUUUUCGUACCCCUUUUUUGGAAUUAAAUUAAAGUAAAAAAAAUUGAAAAAAAAAAAAAUCAAUCAAAAUUCAAAAUCAAGUAUAAAGAAUGGCAUUUCCUGAACUACGUGUGUCCUGAUUCUUGCUAUGACAAGUUACGUAGGCAGCCCUACUCCGGGGUUCGGUCCAACCAAAAUAAAGUUCAAAUUACCCAGGAUGAAAUAAAACUGGGGCCAAAGUUUAUUUCUUUAAAAGAGUCGAUUCCAAAAGUUGAAUGCUUUACCCAAUGAUUAUGUAAAUUUUUUAGCCUCAUGCCGCCCUUUCUUUCUAACCCAUUUCUAAAAUCCAAGUUACAACCAAAGAAAGACCUUUAGAUCAAUCUUUAAGAAUGUCAAGGCUUAACAUCUUAUGGGUACAUGAUAUUUCAUAUUUUGGGUGUUAUUUUCUCUCUACAUAUAAAAAAAAUGAAUGAAAAUGAGAGAGUCUUAUUGGUGAAAACUCUUUUGGGCACCAUAAGGCGAAUAUGAGCUGAGAAAGAAAUGGAAAUGAGAUAGGCUCAUUGGCAAAAACCCAUUGAGGUGCCACUAGUCGAAGGAGGGUUAUUAUCCAGAAGGAACAAGUUUAAGAUUGGCCUAAUUUUCAAGCUCAAUAAGUGGACGAAAGUUAAUAACGAUUGGUGAUUAGAUCUGGUUGUAUAAUUCGAAAUGCAUGUCAUAAUCACCAGAAUCGGUUUUCACAUUCAAUAAGUUUUUCUUAUUAUUUUGAAAAGAGAUACCUAUUGUCUUUUUUUUUAUUUAUUUUGAUUUCUGAUUUUUGAGUCCUUGUUAUCAAAUGAAAAUUUUUGUUGUCUUUUGUGUGUUGUUGAGUCAAAUUCACGUCAGGUCAAGUGAGAAAGGACUCCAAACUUGCUACCAACUUCUUCAAUAUAUAAAGCAAGACAAAGGGUCGACGCACAAAGACAACAUGUCAAAGAAUAAUAAAGUAUUCGGAAUGAUUGUUGAUUUGGCAAUUUUUGACUCUUUGAAACAUAAAAGGUGUAUGGGAUAAAAAAAUUCUGAGAUAUUAUACAAGAGAAAUGUUUUUUGAGUUGAGAGUCUUAGUAGUCAGAAUUUGGGUCAGAAGUGUGACAAGUCAAUGGAUAUCUAUCAAGGAUUGAAAAAAGAGUUGAACAUGGCAAGUGCUAGAACAGUCACUUUAAGAGCCAAAUACCACAAACCAACCACCACGUGUUUUUAAAACUCAUGACUUUCUUUGGUUUGUUUGAAACAGAAAUAGAAAGUUUUCAAAUAAAGGAUGCAAUUUCACACUUCUGUCAAUGCAAGAAUUAUGAUUACAACAUACGAUGUUGGAUCUCGGUUAUGGUAAAUUUUAUUCUUUGCAAGAUGAAUUUAUCAAAGCUUUUUCAGGCUUUGAUUUAUUCUUUCACUAUACUUCUCAAAACAUUAAGAUUUGAUGACACACAAAUUUUUUCAGUACAAACUAGGGCAAAAUUUUUAUGUGUGUUGUAUGGAAAUUUAAUUUUGCUCAGGACCCUCCUGAAGAAUGGAAAUUUAUUUUAUGCUCAGGACCCUCUUGAAGAAUGGGACAGGACCCUCCUAAAGAAUGAAAAUUUACUUUUUGUUCAGGACCCUCCUGAAGAAUGGGUCUGGACUUUCUUGAAGAAUGAGAAUUUAUUUUGUUCAGGACCCUCCUGAAGAAUAGAAAUUUAUUUUUCUCAGGACUCUCCUGAAAAAUGGAAAUUUAUUUUAUGUCCAGGACCCUCCUGAAGAAUGGGAUGUUAUUUUUAUGUUUCACUAUUUGCUUUGAGUUCAGAAGCCCGCCUGAAGAACAGGGUAAAGAAAUUUUAAGUCUAGGAGCUAGCCUGAAGAAUAGGGUGAAGAAACUGUAUGUCCAGGAGCUCGCCUGAAGAAAAAGGUGAAGAAAUUGUAGAUCCAGGAGCCCGCCUGAAGAACAGGGUGAAGAAAUUGUAAGUCCAGGAGCCUGCCUGAAGAACAGGGUGAAGAAAAAGGAAGUCCAGGAGCCCGUCUAAAGAACAGGGUGAAGAAUUUGAAAAUCUAGGAGCCCACCUAAAGAACAGGGUGAAGAAUUUAUAAGUCCAGGAACCCGCCUGAAGAACAGGGUGAAGAAAUAACAAGUCAGGAGCCCGCUUGAAGAAUAGGGUGAAUUUUCAAAAUCAAAUUGCGAAGAGUAGGACCAAGAUUCUAGAGAUUACAAUUUUCAUUUGUAUUUUUCAUUUUUUUAGUCAUUUAAAUGUAAAAGGUAGAAGUUGUCAGCCGGAAACUUGACGGAAUCUCACUCGACUUUAUAUUUUUCUCUCAACAAAUUACAUUUGAACUACUCGUGACCUGAUUCUCUUAUAAUCCGGGAUAGGUAGGAUGUCCGAAAACAGGACUCGAUCAUAUUUUUUUCUUUUAUUUUAAUUUUAUUUUAUCCUUACCUUUCAAAUAAUUGGAGGGUAAAAAAUCAUAUCUUGACAAUUUCUUUGUAUGAAAACUCUUCGAGAUUCCACACAAAGAGGGGGGAAAAUGUAGACACGUGAUUUUUGAUCCUCUCUAAAUUUUAACUUGUUUAUAGAUAUUAAAAAUUUAUAUUUAUAUUUAAUCAUAUAUUAUUUUGAUUAUUCUUUUUAUUUUUAAUAAAUUUUAGUAAAAAAAAAAUGAAUAAUUUUGCUUUUAUAAAUUCUUAAUAAAAAAAAAUGAUAGUUUUAAUAUUUAUUUUAUUAUAUUUAUAUUUUUCUAUUUAUAAAUUGUUAUUAUGUUAUGUUAAAUAUAAAAUUAAUUAAUUAAUAUUAUAUUUUUUAUUAUUAUUAUUAUAUUUAUUUUUACUUUUAUUUUAUUUAUUUAUUAUUAUUAUUAUCUUUAUUUAUUAUUAUUACUAUUAUUUUCUAUAUAUAAAAAUAAAAAUAUAUAUAUAAAAAAAAUAAUAAAAAAUUGAAUUUUAAAUACCCUUUUUUCCUUAUCUAUUGAUGAGGAAUUCCCUUCUAAAGAAUAACUGUUUCCUCCCUUAAAUCCUUUAUUUAAGGAUUCUCUCUACGUACAUUAUUAGGGAUCAGAUACUAAAAAAUUAAAGUGUAGAAAAAGCCAGUAAAAUUUUUUUUUUUUUUUAAGAAAUCUGAGAGAAAAAACGGUGAAGUCGAAUUUGGAUUCGUGUUCAAGAUUUCGGUGACGAUUGUUGCUUGUUUCAUUAUUCCUUUUGAGUCAAUCACAUGUUUAUUUUUUAUAUCUUGUACCACUCAUAUUAUGAAUUUAUUUUAUAAAUGCAUGAAUAAAGACAAUGUUAAGUUGCUUUAUGCAUUAUUUAGUAAGCAUAGUUAAUUGAUUAUAUGGGUUUAUUAUCAUUGUAUGCUAUUUGAUUAAGUUAUAACAAGUUUAUUUAUGUUUUGAGUAAAAAAAAAAUUGUGUUGUGUUAAUUUUGUUAAAGAUAAUUUGAAAUGAAAAAGAGAAAUAGAUGAAAGAAGUCAACACUAUUUGAUGUACAACAAUACACAUAGAGUAUCAAAAAUUGCAACAAAAUUCAUAUUAAAAAAAAUCCAUAAAAUCAGAUGAUUUAGAGAGCAAAAUUUAAGAGAAAUCAGAUGGUAGAAAAUUGAUUGGAAAAUAUUUUUAUUUCUUGAAGUUCUCUGGCAAAUUCAUAUCGAAAACUCGCUGGGAAAAAUGCUAAAACCAGUAAAAAAUUUAGCAAAUCAGCCAUCAAAACUCCUUCCCAUUGCGGCAUUAACUCCACUAGCCACUUUCUGAGAAUGCAGCAUACGCAUCUUUCUGAGACAUUUUAAAAUUCAUGGAUGCAAUAAUGCCCCUUGAUAAAUAUUUUUCCUAAAAAAUUAAUAUACUAUGAGUUGAUACGAGAAGUGUAGAUAAGUUUAAGUAUAAUUAAAAAUGAGUGAUUUUAAGCCUUAAUAUAAUUUGUUAAAAUAAUUUAAGUCAAGAUAAGUUGAUAAAGCGACCAUACUAGAACCACGAGACUCGAGGGGUGCCUCACACCUUCCCCCCGAUCAACAGAAUUCCUUACCCAGUCUUCUGUUUUUGCAGACCAAUAAAAAGUCAUUUUCUUUUGACUAGGGAUUCAAAAGGUGACUUGAAACACCAUAACUUAAUUCCAAGUGGCGACUCUGUAAAUAAAUUAAUCUCUAUUCAAUACCGUCACUUUAAUUGGAAAAACCCUUCGACUCGAUCCCCUCGAGCGAAAAAAGGGGUGUGACGCCGAGUAUCAAAUGUUGGUUUCUAGUUGGAAUUUGUUAACCCCAAAAGACAAGGUGAUGCACCAAUAUACGAAAUUAAGAUAGAUGAUAUCUCUUCUGAGAUAGCCUAUUGGAGGAAUGUUGUGGUCUGCUACGUUUUGGGGGCGCACCCACCAUUUUCCGUCUUGAAUGGCUAUGUUCAACGACAAUGGGGCAAACAUGGCAUAAACAAAGUUUCGAUGCAGAAAAAUGGUAUACUGCUAGUACGUUUUGAUUCUCAGGAUGGGAAGAAUGAAGUAUUACAGGGAGGAAUAUUUCACUUUGACAAUAAACCCUUCAUUGUCAAGGCAUGGAAUGAAGACAUGGAUUUCACCAGGGAGGAGUUGCGAACAGUACCAAUUUGGGUCAAAUUUCCUGCUUUGAACUUCAAAUACUGGGGUCCAAAAGGUUUAAGUAAAAUUGAAAGCUUAUUUGGCAAACCUCUGAUGGUCGACAAAAACACAAAGAAGAAAAUGGGGUUGAAUUUUGCAAGGCUGCUUAUAGAAGUGGAUGUGGAUGCUCAGUUGCCUGAUAAAGUGUUCUUUCGAAAUGAGAAAGGAAUACUAAUUGAAUAGAGAAUCCAGUAUGACUGGAAACCAAUGCUUUGUAAGUACUGUCAAAAGUAUGGACAUGCGGAGGAUGAGUGCGAGAAAAAGAAGAAACCUGAACAGAAGAGGGAAGAACCUAAGGAAACUGUGGUAAAUAAUACACAUGGGAAGGAGAAGGGUGCCGAAUCAACAGAAAUACAACAUGUAAAGGGCUAAAAAGUAGAGGAAAAACAAUAUUUGGGGAAGAAGGAUAGACAAGGGGAACAAACUGGUUGGAUAACUCCAACAAAUCCUAGCAAAUUACUAUUAAGGAAGACAGGGUAUAGGCAAACAAACGUGAAUCCUUUCAAUAUGUUAAGAGAAGGUGAUAAUAGUGUCAUUGCAGAUUGCCAGGUUCAACAUGAGGGUGGCAAGGUUGUGUCACCUACGGGAGAUGGAUAACAUUUUAUGUUGGAAUGUUAGGGGCAUGAAUGCCCCUAACAAGCAAAGGGAGGUAAGACUCCUUUGUAAUAAAGAAAGCACUGGUCUAGUAGCCUUAUUAAAGACAAAAAUAAAGGUAGAUAAAGUGAGUCAAAUGGCAAAUAGUAUGUUUGGAGAUUGGGGUCAUAUUACUAACUAUGAGAAGCACUACAAUGGUAAAAAAAAUGUUGUUUUGGAGACCGAAUUACUAUAAAGUCAAAGUAAUAGCUAGCACUAGUGGCAGCAGGUAUACAUGGAAUGAUAGGCAUGGAAACAAUAGGAUUUAUUCCAAGUUGGACUGGGCAUUUGUCAAUAAUGAAUGGUUGGACACUAUACCAAUGAUAAAGGUGCAAUUUUUAUGGGAAGGAAUAAGUGAUCACUGCCCUUGAAGAUUACAAAAGAGGGCAGGAAUAACACACAGAAAAGAGCAUUCAAAUACUGCAAUCUAUGGACAAAGCACCCACAGUUCCUGGAGAUUGUUAAGGAAGUCUGGUUAACUCCCAUAUAUGGAUGUAAAAUACUUCAGGUAGUGAAGAAGCUAAAAUUGUUGAAGAAGAGAUUGAACAACUAAAUAAAAUCUAUUGUAGCAAUAUUUUUGCUGAAGUUGAAGAGGAUAGAGAUGUGUUAAUACAGGUUAAAAAUAAGCUACACACUGAUCCAAACAAUGCUAGCCUACAGCAGGAUGAAAAGGAAAAAAAUUAGAGAUUCAGGAGAUCAUCUUAUAUGGCAAAAAUUUUCUUACAACAGAGGAGUAAAACAAAUUAGUAGCAACUAGGAGAUGACAACACUAAAUACUUUUAUUCCAUUAUCAAGAUGAGAAGGUUAUAACAAGCUAUCACACAAAUAAAGGAUGAGCAUGGAGUCCUGCACACUAAUCUAGACAAAGUAGCACAAAUAAUGGUGGAAUACUGUGACAACAUGCUAGGCAAAGAAGCAGUAAAUAGAGUCAGAACAGCUGAUAAUAUCUUGAUGAAUGGACCUCAGAUCACCUUGACACAACAGAUGGAGUUGAUAAAGACAUAUACAGAGGUAGAGACAAAUAGGCCAUGUUCAAAAUAGACAUCAACAAAAGUCCAGGACCUGAUGGCUAUGGCAGUGGGUUUUUUAGAGAAGCUUGGAGUUUGAUUGGUGAGGAUAUCACAGGAGCAAUAUUUCAAUUCUUAGAAAAUGGUAAAUUACUUAAAUAAAUAAACUCUACUAUGAUAUCUUUAAUUCCAAAGGUGAAAGUGCCAAAAUUGGCCAAUCAAUAUAGGCCAGUCUCAUGUUGUAAUGUGUUGUACAAGUGCAUAUCAAAAGUGAGUUGUUUGAGAUUGAAAGCAGUACUUCCUAGUCUAGUAAAUGGAUCCCAAGCAGCCUUUGUAGAAGGAAGAUCACUAAUCCACAAUGUGCUAAUUUUUCAUGACUUGUUGAGACACUAUAACAGGAAGACAACAACUAGGUGUUUAAUGAAAAUAGACUUGAGGAAGGCUUAUGACAUGGUCAAAUGGAAAUUUAUUGAAGAAGCUUUAAGGGGAUAUGGCUUUCCAGAAUCCUUUGUCACUAUGGUAAUGAUUUGUGUGACUACAACAAGUUUUUCUGUGAAGAUAAAUGGAGAGGGCUAUGGCUAUUUUGAAGGCAAGGGGGGAUUAAGACAGGGGGAUCCCAUAGCACCCCUAUUGUUUGUUUUGGUAAUAGAGUACCUGUCAAGACUAUUGAGCAAAAUGAGUGACCUACCAGAUUUUUAUUUUCACCCAAUGUGCAAAUCGACCAGGUUAACUCGCUUGGUUUUUGCAGAUGACCUUAUGAUCUUUUGAAAAGGAGAUAUAAAAUUAGUGUGUAGAGUAAAAGAGCCUUUGGAGCACUUUAGUCAAGUGACAGGAUUACAUGCAAAUUUGGAUAAAUCAAACAUCUUUAUUGCAGGAGUUGAUGAUGGUUUGAAACAGCAAAUACUUCCACUACUGGUUUCUCUUUGGGCACUCUACCUAUUAGAUAUUUAGGACUCCCACUUGCAUCCAAAAAAUGGACAAAGAUAGAGUGUCAACAGUUAGUGGAUAAAAUUAUCACAAGAAUACAAAAUGCAUAUGCCAAGUACUUAUCCUAUGCUGGCAGAUUGCAAAUAGUGAUGGCGGUGCUAUUCUCUAUUUACAACUUUUGGUGUACAGUUUUCAUUUUGCCUCAGAGUGUGGUGAAGCAGGUAGACAAAAUAUGCAAAAAUUUUCUAUGGAGUGCUACAGAAGGUAAAAGAAAGAUAGCUCUAGUUGCAUAGGAAAAUUUGUGUGUACCAAAGAAGUAUGAAGGCCUAAAUAUUAAAGGAUGUGGAAAUUGGAAUAUUGCUUCAGUAGGUAAACUACUAUGGCAAGUGGCUAUGAAGGUAGAUGUGUUAUGGGUGAAAUGGGUGAAUGGAAUAUAUAUGAUAGGUACAACAAAUAUAUGGGAACACACACACCCAGCUGAUUCCAGUUGUUAGUGGAGGAAAUUAAAUGGUCUCAAGACACAGAUGGUUGCGUGGUAUCAAAAUGGAAGAUAUGUGCUGACUUGUUCAGGAUCAUAUUCAAUUUCAUGUAGUUACCAUGCUCUCAAAGGAGUACAUCCAAGAUUAAAGGAGGCUGAACUAUUUGGAGCUCAGUCAUGUUGCCAAGACAAAGAUUCACUGCCUGGCUAGCCUGUAAGGGAAGAUUGCUAACUAAAGGAAGAUUAAUCAAGAUGAAAAUACAUAUAGAUGAUCCUAACUGUAGUUUAUGUGGUGAAAGUAUCCUGGAAACAUAGAAACAUCUCUUUAUGAAUUGCAAAUGGACAACAGAGGUGAAGGAACUUUUACAGGCAUGGCUUGGAAUCAAAUUCGAAAACAAGGAUUGUUAUGAAAUCUUUCAAUGGAUCAAAAGGAAAAGAUGGAAAUUAUUUGGGAAAGAAAUUGUUGCAGCAGUAUACGGAGUCCUGAUUUACCACAUAUGGCAGGCUAGAAAUAGGAAGAUAUUGCAACAAGUGAAUACUAAUGCGGAAGUUGUUACUAUGCAGAUACAACACGAAGUGAGGGAGAGAAUAGAGAUACUUAGAGGCUCAAAGAGGACACAGAAGUGUAGCACUUUGAUAUAACAGUUGUGUACUUAGAUGUGGUGAUUCCUUGAGCUCUAGCUGUUCUCUCCCAGAACACUGGAGGCUCUUUAGAUUGUAAACCUUGUUGUUUGUUAAUGGUAAUCUUUCACAUUUUUUACCAAAAAAAAAUGAUUUAUAAUCACACAAAUAUCUUACCCUUAUUUUAGACCAGAAAUUUCAAAAGUCUUCUUUAUUUCUUUAACUCCAUGUCAAUUUAAACCAACUCACAUAAAUUGAGAUAGAAAGAAUAUACUAUUAUAUUGAUAUUGAUAGUGUAAAACAGUAAUUGUUUUUUGUUCUAGCUGUAUCGUAAGUAAAGUCCAAAAAGCAUAAAGCAAAAGAAGAUAAGGUAGUGUGCGCAGGAGGAGAUAGUGAAUGAGCGGAUUACAAAGGACAGAAGAAGAGAAAAGAAGCAAGGGCCCAAAACAGCAAGAAUCCAUUUAAAACGCCAAAAAUACACUAACAGACACCUGAAUAUAGCUGUUUUGAAUUAUGGGGUUUUCGUUUUCAGAAUUUUCUUAAACAGUGUGAAUAUGUUUUGCUCAUUCUAGGAGGUUUCUUCUUCUGAUUGCUUUCAACAGUCAUCCCACCAAUCACAGAAUCCACAUACAUACAUGAUACAUCCCUCCCCUCCUGCCAUUUUAAAGUUUUGUUUUGUUUCUCAUCCGGUGUCCCAUGUCCGGUACCGCAUCGGAGCCCGACUAAUCUGGAUUUGCGCCGGUAGGAUCCCAUUCGAGGAGUAGCGCUCCCAACAGAGUUUUUUUCAUGUCCAGAAUAUAAUCCUCGACCUCUGAUUAAGGUGGAGUAGCCUCAUCCGCUGCACCACAACCCAUAUUGGUCCUGCCAUUUUAAAGUUAUGCAGAUAUAUAUUAGUGAUGUACCUAGUUAUUAGUAGUUAUCUUAUAUUCUACUUUGCAUAAAAUAAUGUAUCAGUUGUCAAGAUUCUAAAUUGCUAAACAAAAGCCGUGCUUGACGUAUUGCAUUUUAUACAUAGCAAAGAAAUGCUACCAAGCAUGUGAUACUAGAUAUAUGGGAUUUAGUACAUGAAUAAAUCACCUCCUAAUUAACGACAUAUCUCUUCUUAAAAUGACUUUUUAAGGUGUAAGAAUGGAGAUCACAAUACAAUAGCCAACCAAUGGUGUGAUUUUAAUUUUGGGCAGGGAAGGGAGGCUGGCUUUUAUUUAAUUGGUCUUUUACGGUUUUUUUUUUUUUUUUUAUUUACGGCAUGUUAUUCAAUAAUUAUGUUUGAGUCCAACUAAAUUAAUAUUUAUGAUAGGGCUCACUUACGAUAUCAUGUCAUUAUUGCAAAGGAGUAUUAGGCUGAUUUGUUUGCAUUUAAUGGAGGUCUGAAUCUGAAUGGUUCAGAUUUCAGUUCAUUAAGUGCAUUUUUUUUUUUUUUAUAACUGCCUCUUAGUGUGUCUGAAAUCCUCUGAUAUAUUCCCUCAAAACUCUCUCACUUUAUUAUUUUCCUCUUUAUAUAUGUGUAAAAUGAAUUAAAAUAACUUAAUUUAUUAUCAAAUGAAUUAUAAUGCAAUGGAUUAUAAUACUAGUAAUUCACAUAUUGAAUUAUUUAUUUUCCUCUCUCAUUUGACAAUUAUUUAUUUUCCUCUCACUUUGUUAUUAAAAAUAUUGAACUAUUCUAGUAAUUAUAACUUACACCACAAAACUCUCCCACUGUUGUAGUAAUUCAUUUUAUAAUUACAUCUUAUCACAAUAAUUUUUAAUCGAUAUAUCUUUUUUUUAAUAAUUAGAUAGUUCAAUAAUUACAUUUAACAUAAUUUAUUUAUUUAUAUUUUAAAAUAUUUUAAUUAUCACGCAAAUAAUGUUUGUUGUUUAAGUUAAUACUCUAUCUAAAUAUUUUUUUAAUAUAAUAUUUUUUUACUUUUUAAAUUUGAAUUUCAUAUUUAUUACAAAUAAAUAAAUUACAUAUAUUCAGAUGUUAAAAAAAAAAAAACAGUCUUAAUCAUGUAGUAUUCAGAUUUAGAAACAACAUCUUAAUCAUUCAGACAUCCAUUUAGAUUCAGACGUCUUGAUCUUAAAAAGAAAAAUGCACCCUUAUUCGGGAACGCAUCUAAAAAUGAAUUAGAAGACUUCAGGUUCAAAAUGAGGCAGGUAGCACACAGUGGCGAAGCCAAGAAUUUAACAAAGGGUGUAUAAUUUUUCUUUCCAAUUAUGUUCAGGGUGUGCAAAAUUAAAUAUUUACUCAUAAUAGCUAACAUUUAACUUUUAUAGACCACGUAAUUACUCUACGAAUAGUGUUCAUCUGACCACUCUUCGUUUAAGGUGGCUCCGCCUAUGGUAGCACACAUUCGAGUACCAUUUUACUAUUUACUCCUACAAAAAUAUUUCCACAGGGGAGAAAAUUUGGCUAUUAAGUCUUUUUAAGUUUCUAAUUAGCAAAAUGUCCAAUCCUCUUCAAGUUUUCAAUUAGCAAAAUAACCUACUUUUAUUUUCUCAUUUGUCGGACAGAUAAUAGAUCUGUCGGAUUGAUAAUCAAUCUGUCUAUAUAUCUGUUGGAUAGAUAAUAGAUUUGUCGAAUUUAUAAUUAAUUUGCCUAUAUAUCUGUCGAACAGAUGAUAGAUCUGUCUUAAAAAUGGGUCAUCUCACUAAAUAAAAAAACUUACGGUUCAUUUAAUUAAAAAAUAGACUUAAAAGGUCUAUUUAACAAAAAGUUCCCCCACAAUGUAUUUGGAGUUUGUUUCGUAGAGUGUAUAAAAACAACGUAAAAUAUGAUAUAUUAGUAAUGUUUGUGUUAGCUAUGUUUGCAUUAGUUAUGUUUGUAUUUUUUUCUUAUGCAGUGUUUGGUUUGACGUAUUAAAAAUAACAUGAAUUACAUAGUUUCAAAAAGAAAGUUACAAAAACACCCUUCAUACAUAUAUUGGAAAGGAUGCGGAAAACAUGGGGGAUUAUUGUGUUUUUAAUAUGCUAAUUGUCACACCCCCUUUUUAACGUACUCUAAAAAGAUAUGGUUAUUUUAGUUUAAAGUCCAAAAGGGUUUUAUUAUUUAAGUGACAAGAAAUGAAAAUUUGUUUCGGAAAAAGGAUUAUUUACAUUUUUUAUUCAGAGUCGCCACUUGGCAUAAUCCGGUGUGCCAAGUCACCAUUAGAAAAUCCUUUCCCAAACCAUUUGACUCUUUAAACUGGUUUGCGAACAGAGAUUCCGACUAAGGAAUUUUGUUGACCGAGGGGAAGGUGUUAGGCACCCCUCGAUCCCGUGGUUCAACCACGGUCGCUUGGUAGAGUGUAUCAACUAUUUUGGCAUUACGAAAUGUAUAAACCACACAAAAGCAUGCAAAAUAAUCAAACAAUAAACAAAACAAAACAAUCCAAAAUGUAAAACCCAGUCAAAAAAAUAAAUAAUGCGGAAAUAUAAAUUUAUUCUAUCCUAGACUAAUCCUAUGCUACACUCUAACGCUUCACCCGAUGCCUCGGGCCUUCACCACGAACAUCUUCCAAGCACAAGGUACUUCGGGGCAUUCCUCGGGUAAAUCAAUACAAAUCCUUCGAGGCAUUCCUCGGCCAAAUGAGUACAAUUUAAACUUUUCGUGCAAUAAAGUAGAAAGUACCAUUCAUGCAUAUAUUCAAACACUCCAACAAAUCAUUAUUUCUAAAUUUGACUACCCGACCUACAUUUGCCGAUCCAAGUUCAACAUNNNNNNNNNNNNNNNNNNNNNNNNNNNNNNNNNNNNNNNNNNNNNNNNNNNNNNNNNNNNNNNNNNNNNNNNNNNNNNNNNNNNNNNNNNNNNNNNNNNNNNNNNNNNNNNNNNNNNNNNNNNNNNNNNNNNNNNNNNNNNNNNNNNNNNNNNNNNNNNNNNNNNNNNNNNNNNNNNNNNNNNNNNNNNNNNNNNNNNNNNNNNNNNNNNNNNNNNNNNNNNNNNNNNNNNNNNNNNNNNNNNNNNNNNNNNNNNNNNNNNNNNNNNNNNNNNNNNNNNNNNNNNNNNNNNNNNNNNNNNNNNNNNNNNNNNNNNNNNNNNNNNNNNNNNNNNNNNNNNNNNNNNAAACCCAAAUAGAAAUCAAAAACACCCCAAGAUCUCAAAUUCGAAACCCCAACCCAUCGAUUUCCAACUAACCUUGCACGAACUAAACCAACUCGAUAUCGAGGAAUAGCAAACUCGGAUGGAUUUAAAACCCUAAGAAAUAAGAAAUAUCAAAAGAACCGAGACUGAAAUUAUGAAAAAUCGAGAAGACCCAUACGCGAAAUCUCGUCGGACUCAACUCAAAUCUCGCCGGAAUCGAUGGAAAACGGGUUGGGUAUCGUUGAUUGGUCACCGGCUUCACUGUUUCCGAUGCCUGCUGCCGUCGCCGGAGAGAGGUCGGGUCGGGUCGGCGGCUGGAGGAGCAGCUCGUGUUAGCCUUUUGAGGCGGCACCGUCUCUGGCUGGUCGGCGUUUGAGCGAAGGAAGAGGAGGACGAGAGCAGGAACGGCGACAGCGCCGGCGCUGUUGUCGCCGAUGGGGGCGGCGGCACCGCUGCUUUUUUUUUUUUUUUAGUUUUGGAGAGAGAGAGAUGGUAGAGAGAGGGAGAGAGGUGGCUGGUUGUUGAGUUCACCGGACUCCGGCAUCGUUGGCUGCUACUGUUGCACGUAUUCUGACGAAGUUUUUUUUCGGUGAUGAAUGUGUAUAUGACAUUUUUGUAGGUUCCAGAUGAGUGAUGCCUAUGUCUUUCCCUUUUGUUGUGUAUAUGGGUGAUUGUAU